AAGCAAAUGGAGAAAAGGCUGUCCUUGGCCACCCUGAAUCAUUCUUUUUCCCUCCUCCCCUGUUUCCUCCGAACCCCUUUCAGCCUCCUCCGUUGCUUCCUCCCAUACUGCCACCACCAGCUCCACUUAUUCCAAACCCAUUUCAGCCUCCUCCAGCUCCACUUAUUCCAGCCUCCUCCAGCACCACCGGCUCCACUUAUUCCAAACCCUUUUCAGCCUCCUCCCGCACCACCGGCUCCACUUAUUCCAAACCCUUUCCAGCCUCCUCCCGCACCUCCAGCUCCAUUUAUCCCGAACCCCUUCCAGCCUCCUCCGGCACCUCCAGCACCUCCAGCACCAUGGUUUCAUCUUCCACCGAUUCCAGGACUAACUCCACCACCAUCGCCACCACCUCCACCUCCACCAACCUUCCCGUUUCCUCUUCCCCCAUUCCAUUUCCCACCUGUACCGCCUUUCCCUGGUAUCCCCCCUGCCUCUGCCUCUACUUCACCAAAGAAAUCCUCUCCUUAAUUGUAUACUAUAAGUAAUGAUUCUCCACUAAAACCUAUCACAAUCUAGCCACUCUUCUGAUGAUUAUGAAUUACAUAUGUAUAUCUUUUUUGUUCAUUACGAUUAUAAAUUAUAUGUACAGUUAAAUAAUCUACCUAAACAGUGUGGGCUUUCUCUUGGUUGUUUGUAGUGUGAUUGACUGUACCAUUGUCAAUAAGAAGGUCCCGUGAAUGUGACACAAUUAUUGUACUAUAUAAUAAAUCCAAUCCUGGGGUCAUCUGAUUCCAACAGGUUUAUUCUCUUUAGUCUAAAGUUCUUCUAAAUCAGAACUUUUUUUCCAUUUUACGACUCCAGCUUCUUCUUCUUCUUCUUCUUCUUCUUCUUCUUUUUUGAAUUUGUUGAGCAAUUACUAUAUUAGUAAAGCCUGAACUACGUAAUAAAUAAGCUAACAGCAACCACUAAACGAAAAUGAUAAUCACGACAUGCCAUCACUAAAAACAUGGAAUUUUAAUUAGUUAAAUGAAAACAACAAUGAGUCUUUGUCUUAUUAACUUGAAAGAUUGAUAGAAAGAAGAUACACGUUGCAGCAUCCCACUCCAACUGUUCUAGGUUUACAAAUAGAAAGCCUAGCUAAUAUAUGAUUAGCCAUCUGGACACUGGUGUUGAUUUCAUUUAAUAAUGCAAUCAAAAGAAUAUAGUUUUGUCUUGUACCUAUAUAUAUUUCCUCCAUUCUCAGCCGAUUGCUCAAUAUUCAGUAAUGGAGACGACAAUUAGGAUGGUGCAGAGGGAGACAGAUGACAUAGAAGUAGAAAAUUAGGUUUUUUCUUUCGUACUUUUUGGCUGUUUUUGGCGGUUUGGUGACAAAAGAAAUGCAUCAGGAACGGCUGCUUCUGGUUCUUUGGAUAAGAUGAUGGAUAAGCUCUCUCUGCUGAUAGCAGUAAACAAAGAUGGAAUUAUUUUUAACUUUUUUCCUAUGCUUUUAGCAUUUUAAAUCUCCAAUAACGAAGCAUCAUCAACAUUAACCAACAACAUACCACGCACCCGUCAAUAUAAAUCAUUGAAAGGUUCGUGCAAAAUAACCACAUCGGCAUGCACAUGCAUAGGCCCAAACAUUAAGCACAAAAAAGCUUACCCCUGGACUCAAUUUUGUUGUCUCCUGGCUCAUAUAUUUGCAACUUUUCCUGUAAAAAACUGAAUUUACUCUUUGACCUACACAUCAAAAUCUAUUCAUGAGAAACAAAUAAUAAACAUAGUGAUCACUUUCAUGCAUGUAUAGAACAUAUGCAAUAUGUACAGCCUUGUCUCUCUUUUCAUCAUUUUGAGGUAUAAGGUCUCUCAAAAUCUGAAACCUGCCACAUAAAAAAUAAUGGAUUUCAAAUGUGAGAGCAAUCUAGUUUCUAGUAUUAACAAAAACAAGAGGGAUGGUAUUGGUCAUAAGUAGGAAAAGUUUACAUGGUUGCUGAAACUUCAAUAUGACAGCAACUUAACGAUAAAUUGAUCUUUUUUGAGAGUUUUCUUUAUUCAGAUGCAAUUAUGUUUAGCCUAUUAAUAGUUCGCACAUCUGUGGAAUAAUGUGUAUCUGUUGAAAAAAAAAAGGUCAUACUAAUGAUCAAUCAUUAGCAGCUUAAUCUACACAUCAGAUUUUAUCAUACUCCACAGCUUUAUCCUUAUUUUUUGAUUUGGAGAUGGAGAAUUCGAAAGAGGCUUGUUGAGCCAAAAUGCUUUGCUAUUGACAUUUUAGUUAUACUAGGUUUGGUGUUAUGUGAUAAAAUUCCAAUCAGCAAAAUACAUAAACCAGAGUUAAAUUUUAAUAUCAAAUAAAUUAUACUUAAAGAAUAUUUUUUUUAUUUAAUAAUUUUGAGAAGUAAAAGAAAAUUUUGAGAAAUGGUAAAACUUUGGGAGAAAUUUGGUAUAAAACUCAUAGAGGACAAAAUUUUGGAGAAAUUAUUUAGAAUCUUAAAUUUGAUCCUCUCAAAUGUUUAGAUUUAUGUCUUUACAAGCAAACUUAAUCUGUACAUAUGAAUGGUGCUAAAUAAGAUUUCAUCACAAGUUCUGUUGCAAAUGUUUUACUUUGUUAAUAAAAUAUUUUUUGUUCAACCAAAUUCAAUAUAAACAGAAAAUAUAUAGUUCAACUCUUAUUACAGGCAACCAUUACAGAACUCCUUAAUAUUGUUGAAUAAAAACCUACUUGUUAGCCUAGGGAAGUGGAGUCUCAGGCUUAGAUUAGCCGAAAGAUGGGUAUCCACAUGUACGUAUAUGGUACUUGUUUAUGUAGUAUACCUAUUUUACAACGAAAGCCUCUUACUCUUAAUUAGAAAAUGGAAUAUAGCUACACUUACAGAGACAGGAGAGGACCCCCCUACAAUUUAAUGCUUGUUUGAAGAGAUGCUAUAAAAACUACCCAAACGUUACUUUUUGACUAAAAUGUUUAGUUGCAGUAGCUAUGGCAGCUUCAGGGCCACUUGGUUGUGCGGUUUUUGAGAAUGAAUUGGUGCAUAAGGACAGCAGAAAUCUUAAAAAGGAUUCACACGAAAGCUCCUCCUUGUAUUUGCUCAUCUUGGUCUUUGACAAAAACUCCCAAUGGACAGAGAAGAUUUAACUGGUGUUUUUGCUUGCUUGAUUGAUUUGAGACUAGAUGGUUUACUAUGUCAUGUUUGGGGGUUCUUAAACCAAAUAUUUGCUUGAAGAUCAAGCUAAUAUUACUGUGGAAUUCCAUUAUUGAAGACAAAAGUCUGGCUCAAGGUUGACGAACUAGAAGCCACAUGGCCUUUUUGACUGCUUUCUUAGUGGUCGACUCAAGUUGCUGCGAAACCAUGCGUUUGACAAAACUGUUCAAAAAUACACAUACCAUGCUUGGCUUUCAAGAUCGCUGAAACUUCAAUUCUCUGUUGUGAAGGCUUUUGUUUGACCGAGAAAGCCCAAGGAAACUUCACUGUGACAGCGACUUUUAUUGAUAACUGUUCUGAGAAUUUUCUUUAUUCAGAUAUAAUUUAGUCCGCUGUGGAAUGAUUAGCAUGUGUAGAAAAAAAUGCCACAUCAAUGAUCAAUCAUUAACAACUUAAUCUAUAUCGGAUUUUAUUAUAAUCCACACCUUAAUCUAGCUUGGGAUGAUUCGAAACAUGCUUUUUGAGCCACAAUGCUUUAUUAUGGACAUUUUUACAUUCUUGGAGAAGAAAAUUUGGUUCCAAAAGGGUGCCUGUAUUCAUAUUCUUAUUUUUUCUAGGCCGGGAAUUUUCAUAAGCCUGUUUAGAACAAAAAUUCCCAAGCAUACAAGGAAUUAUCAAAUGAAAUGAGAGCCAACAUCCAUCACAAAAGGAAUAAAUAGAUAGAUAUUUAGUAAUGGAUUAAAGGAAAACACCUAUCUCAUUCUGUUCUUAAUCAUGUUAUGUCAUGCAUGAAAAAUGCCCAUAAUCAUUUGGGAAUGUCCCAAAAUAGAUCCACAAAAACUUACGUUUGUAAAUCAAGAACUAGGUAAGACUAGUCAAAAUUGAUUGCAGGCUUACUCGCAGAAAACACGAUUGCCUUCCGACGAAGCUUCAAUUAUAUGAUACAUCACCGUGUAAAAGAGCUUAAUAUCACUUCUGAUGGAUUCGAUUAGAGGCCCGACUCACCGGAGUUUGAGAACUGGUGUAAGGCACCUUGCUUCUUCAUCUUGACUUGGAAUUCAAGACACUCUUGCUCACUCUAAAAUAUGUACACUGACACUGCAAUGCUGGUGCCGCAUUUUUGGAACUUGAACAAAAUAUAUAAAGCUCCUGUUGUCAAUCACCACCAUCUUCUUCUUGAUCCUCAAAUUGAGAUUCUUCUUUGAGGUUUAUAUCUUCGCCUCCAGCAUCAUGACUUCCUGCAUGCUGAAGAAACAGUCUAGAUGAUGAUGGAUCAUUUUCAUCAAUAUCCUCCUCGUUGUCCUUUUCAUUAGAGCUUAAAUUCUUUUCACCGUCCAUCCAAGCAGGACAACGAUGUACCACACCAAGAGCAGCGUGAACUUGCAAGUGCACUGAAGGGGUUGAAGCAUUAGACAAUGUUUCACUAGGAUUAGGCCUCAAGCAAGAACAUUCAGGGACUGGAUGUGAAAGUAAAGAUGAAGAUUUUGACUUAUUUGAUGCUUCGAUCAAUCCAUCAAUUAAAGAGCUCCGCAUAUGUCUUCGUAUUGAUGUUAACCAGGAAUGGUUUGCAUGAUAUAUGUGGCCGUGAAUUUGAUCCAAAAGCCUGACAACUUCUUUCCUGUGUUGAAAAAGCAUACAAUCAAUGCAUGGUGAGAGCAUGUAACCUUACAUGACUUGAUAGACGUUUAAAAAGAAAUCACAACUGUCAUUAACUUGCAACUAAAUCAUACAUCCCUAAACUAAUUGUGUAAAUUCAAGCAAACGUGUCUGGUCAGAGAGAUGCUUACCUGUCUGGCCUGUAUGUUUUAGAUGCAGCAGAUUGAUACAAUCUGUGUCCCAUAACCAGACUGGCAAAAUUUGGAUGUCCCUUACCAUCACUAUCGAAUCCAGGAAUGAAAACAUCAGCUUCAACAGCAACUGUAUAGUCUAUGGCUUCCCAUAGUAACUUAUGGGCAUUAGUCCUCAACUCUACAACUGUACUUUCAGGCUCAUUGUCACUCUCAGCAACCCAACCCCACCACCCUUCAAUAUUAUAAGUCUUGGGUCUAGCAGGAGGAGGUGGGAGAGGACGAGGACGAGGACCAGAGUUUUUCCAAGCAUCAAGCUUUGUUUCAACCUGAGCAGAUGGAGGAGCCCUUGGAUAACUUUCAUCGAGGUUAGCCUCGCGACCGUAAAUUCUACUCAGCUCCCAGCUUGUGCUGAGGGAAGUCCUAUCAACAACAUUUUCAAACAAUCCGUGAAGUGGGAUCAAUGUCCUCUGGCCUCCAAAAACUUCACCUCCAGACACAUAUAUUAUUGUAUCCCAUGAGUAUCCAUAUGCCCGAAGAAGAAUACCAACCUGUAGAAAGACAAGUGACUUCAUUCAACAUCUCAAGUUUUCUCAAAUUUUCUCUCCUUAUCCAAUGGAAUGACUACAUUAAUUAACUUUUUAUGAUGUGUUAACAUAUUUGGUUUCAAACAAUAAGAUGAGCAUAGAUCUGAAGCUUCAUAAGUAAAUGAAGUUCAUCAAUAAAAAAUGACUACCUCUUCUGGCGUCAAUGGGCAUGAACCCUUGAGACGUUGCUUAGCAGAAUUUACUGAAAGCUGCCCUUUUAUUAUCCCACGUUUUCUCAUCCAAGCUCUUCUGUGCUGAAUGAGCUCAGCAUGCACAUCCUUGGGUAAGCUCCAAAAGAGAAUAAACAUGUCAAAUGAUGGGCAAUAUUUGAAACAAAGGUUCAGUGAGUAAAAGCACCAAUGGUGCCUUCUGAGUAUAAAAGCAGGUACCUGGAAGAGUUCAGAACAACCGUGAUAGGCUAAAGCAUCUCUUGUCAUACCGGGAUCAAAAGCAAUAAAUGGUCUCCCAGGAGCCCUUAAUCUUAAUUGAUAACAACAUAUUAGGGAAAAAAAAAAGAAAGGAAAUAAUAUUACAUAAUACAAUCAUGGUUAGCUAUUCACCUAUGCAAUAUAUUAGUUGCUAGGUCCUGAACAUCCUGUCGGAACCUCAGGGCAUGAAAAGCAACCCUACAUCUAAGACUUUGAUACUCUUCAAGAUCCGGUGGAAGAAUUGCCUAAAUCAGAUACGGAAAAUAUUAGCAACAAUCACAAAUUCAUAAAGAAAUUAAAAUUUGUGUAUAAUAAGGCAUUUCAACUUCAAUGCAGCAAUAUUCACAUUAGUCUUAACUACUAAUCUGAAGAUAUCAGUAGCACAAAAUGUCAGUUAAGAGACCUUAAAAAGUCUGACGCACAAAAGGAUGAACAGUAAAAUGGUUACCUAAAUGCAGUUUAAGCAAAGCACUUGGUGUUUCAGGAAUUUAACAUGAAAAGCAAGAUGUACCAUGCUCUACAUAACAAAUCUGUGUAGCUAACUUGGUAAAAGUCUUUUGAAAUUGUUCGAGUCAAUAGAAAGAUGAUUAAAUCAAGUCUUUUGAAUUGUUUCAACCAUUAGAAAGAGAAUUGUAUUCCUGAUAUAGACGUAGCACAUGACAUAAAUGUAGGUCACGCAUUGGUAAGAAUGCAAGUGCCUAAGGGUCAAACACGACAAGACUAAAUCGAGCCUAUUAGAGAAACCACCAAAUGCUUAACAAUUAUAAUUGAUAGAUGAGAAACUAGCAAGGUGCUAUUAACCUUCACCACAAGAAUGCAUGCCCUCAAUAUUUAUCAAUUUUAACAAAAGAACAACAUGGAUACAAAUUGAUCUAGAACACAUGCAAAUUAAGAAACCAAGAACAGAUUUAGUGCCUAACAAAAAUAAGCAUCAUUAGAAAUAGGAAAAAUGCGCUUAACAACUAUAUCUGACGUAAAAUUUGAAAAGGUGAUAUUCGAAGUUAAAAAUAAAAUGUUUAAAGUUCAAAUCAAAGGUCCACAGAAAAUUGGCAACUGCAAUCACCUGCAAGCAUCCACCAGCAGAAACAACUAGUUCAACUACAGAAUGCUUGAUCAAAAUAGGGAGCACAUUGUGCAAAUAAUAAUACGGUGAAGCUGCAUACGGCACUCUAAACACUGGGAUUUCCUUAUUUCUCCUCGCUGAUUUAAGGCUUUUAGGAAGGGUUUUCACAAUAUUAACAUCUUUUGCUAAAGCCGCCAUAAACGUUUCCUCAUUAUAUAGGUAGGCAAAACUCUUGAACUGUGAGCUGCAUCAAACAUAUUACAAAUAUAAGUUGAUACAGGACAAAUUACUGAUAAGUCAAAUUAUCAUAUGAUCCAACUCCAAAUAAGAAUAGAAAGCAGUACUAACUAUCAAAAGUCACCUGAUUCCCUUCUUGCUAGUUGUUUGUUGGAUCUCUGGAACAACUAAAGUAGCAUUCAGAAACCGAGAAACCGCAACCACAUCACAUAUCUAGGAUUCAAACAAAAUCAUUACAAUUCCAACUACAUAUAUAAGAUAACUUUACCCAUAAAUAAUAAUUUUCACUAUAGCACCCUUACCGAGCUCCUAAUCUCAUGGAAACCACCUUGUAUUCUGACAAAAAUGUACCCACUUGACUGAGCUCCAGGAUCUGUCGAAGGCACACGUAUAAUAAUACAACCUUAGUAGGAAAUAACAAUUCUAUGCUUUCAAAAAGUGGAUUAAACUGCAACUUGCAAUAGACACGAGGACAUGAUAAAAAUCAGAAUCUGUGUUUUCAUAAAGACACAUACACCAAUAAAUUCAUCAACAUUACUCUUAAAAUAACAUAAAGUUCAACCCUCUCAUUCUACAGGUUGCAUACAUAGAGUAGUUUGCAUGUGAGGAUAAGAAUUAAAAGACAAGGGGAAAUUCUAGGUGAUACGAUGGAGCGAGCAUGCCCACGGUUUCCAUUUUAAUCUCUCCAAAAAUCUGAGCGGUCAAUCGUAAACAAUCAAAGCUACUAUAAGCCAUCGAAAACCACUCAGUAGGUACUGUUAAGGAACUACAUCACAUUUAUCAUUGGAAUUGUAUCAAGAUGAUGGUUAGCAGUCACAGUAAUUUUUAUAAGGAAAAUAAAAGAUCUUAAAUCCUAAUCAUUCAAUGCUAGCAAAUUAACCUGAACAUCUAUUAUCUAGAAUUUGGGAAUGAAAAGCAUGAAAUGUCAUGUUUUUUUUUUUUAAACAAAUGACUAAAAUUAUUGUGAAACACAUAACUGUCAAAAAUCAGAAGUGGAAAUCAGAGCUAACCUGCGUAGUAUCCUUUAGUAUUAGCAUGUGGUUGCAAAGAUUCCAAUUGCCCAACAGGACCCCAUAGUCUUCUAUACAAUGGGCUCUGCACCAAAACAAUAGAAGAAGAAACCCUAAGAAGCCAUAUGUGUUAAAUAAAAUUAACAAACAAAAACUUACAAAAACAGUUUAAAACCAAAUCAAAUCGGAUCCAAAGUACAAAUUUCAGCUCACCUUAAUGAAAAGAAACAAGUAACACUAAUCUGGGCAUUUUCAGUUAACCAAAAUGGAUCCAAACAAAACUCCCAAAAACAAUACUAAAACCCCCAAGUCCACAUGUCCAAGAACAGAAAAGUGAAAUCACCAAGAGCAAAAUGUUUCAAAAAACAAACAAACAGACAAAUACCCUGAAUGUAAAAACACGUCAACAGAAAAUAAUCAAAUUUAGAAACAAGAAAAUGCGAAACAGGAAAAGCAUAUAAAAGAAUCGCAUAGUACCGUUCUCGAGAGGUCUGUAGCUUCAAAAACAGGUCUCCAGGAGAAGAUGGUUAUGGAAGACUGGUACUCGGAGAAGCCGUCUUCAGUGAAUCUGGCUAGCAAGAAGUGCACAAAGAGUGAAAAAACUGACAAAACUAAACCAACCAAACCGACCCAUUUCAUCUUAGACUUCAAAAAAGCUUUCCCUUCUUUCAUUUUUAAUAAUAUUCUUUUCUUUCUUUCCUAAAACUCAAUGGGGUAUUUGCUUUCUCUGUCUAGAAACGGAAGAAAGGUUAAAGAAAGAGGAAACUGAAGAGAACAGAAGGAGAGACACCGAGAAAAGUCAAAAUACAAAGCAAGAGAGAGAGAGAGAGAGAGAGACUGUAAAUACGUGUGAGAACAUGUGUUGUAGUAAAAAAGAAACUGAAGUAGCAGGGGGUGUUUAAUUGGGUUGUAACUUGUGAGAGAUCCGACAUGCUAUUACAGGGAAAGAUUCUGAUUAAUACUGCUGCUCCACUCUCUUCACCUGCGCGUGCUAUUUUUGGAAUUAACUCAAUGAAUAUGAGAUCGGGAUGUAGGAUUAGGAUGCUUGUUUGAUAUCAUGCUGCCACAUUGGGUCUGAUUUAUGAAUAAUAUGACGUGAUUUUUUUGGUUCAUUUUUUUAUGCACUUUUUUUGGUUCAUUAAUGUGACGUGAAGUGGGUCUAACUCCUUUAUUUGUAGGGUACGUGUUAAUCCAUUCGAGGAAUUACUUAUCUAUUUGAUUUGAUAAUUCCACUUGGAUUAAUCUCAUUGAUUUUAUUUAUAAAAUAUAAAUCUUCAUUUAAUUUUAAUUUUAAUUACAAAAACGUAAAAAUAUUUUUUAAAUAAUAAAACAAAUUAUUUAUACUCAUUUUAAGAAUAAAUUUUGUUUUUUCGUAAAUCAAUUCCAAAUUCAAAGUAAACAAAAAUAUGAUGAUUAGGGAUUCUAAACCCUAAAAUUAUGAGUGAAUAUAACAAAAAUAUCCACUUAUUAAAUAAAUUUAUAUUUCUAUAAAAAAUUUAACUUAACUUUUGCUAAUAAAGUUUAAUAAAUCUUCUUCGGGAACAAUAAACACUUAAUAAAUGAAAAAUCUUCAGGUUCUUUAAUAAAUAUCCAUGUAAAUUCUUAUAUUAUCGCAUCGUUAUUGAUUAAGAUGGUCUAACUUAUCAUGCCAACUAACUAGUGUAUUCGGACUAGUAAUCUUUUGAUUUACUAUGCACAUGAUUCAACAAUACUAAUGUAUACUUCUCAUUUACCAUCGCAUGUGAUUAAUCAUACAAACAAAUAUACUAGCAUUGUAUCGAAGAAAAUACAAAUUUAAUAAGUUUAGAGGUAGUUAUAGAUGUCGUAUUUGAAACACCCAAACAUAAAGCAUUAGUCUCAAUACAAUAAAAUCAAAACCUACAUGCACUUGUUGCAAAUAAAUUUUAUCAAUUUACACAAUGUACACAAAUAAAUAUUUCAUUUGUUUGGAUAUAUAUGCAAAAUUAAACAAAGCAAACAUACCAUAAAUGCACAAUAACUAAAAGUUAGAACAUAACAUGAAACUAUUAAUUUGAAUUCCAACACCAAUCUUAUUAUCUGUCUCUACAUUAUUUUCAUUCUUCACUAUUUGGUGGUGAGCAAAAUUAUUAUGACUACCCCUUUGACGAUUAUUAUUAAUGUCCACGAAACCAACUAAAAAUUUGACUAAGGCAAGUACACCUAUCAAUUAAUAGUAUAGCUACGAUAAGUACAAAUAUCGUUCCCAUGAAGACUAAAAGUACUAGUAAUUAUCGUCUUUCUAUUAUGUAGCCGAUAAAUUCGAAUGAUUGAUUAAAAACUAAAAUUAACUAAAUUUAUUAACUAAUGAGCACAACAAAUAAUAAAUCAUGAAAUAAACAAUUAAAGACCAAGAAACAAACAAUACCCAGGAAAGAAUUCACCUGGAUUUCAUCUGUCACUAUUAAUUUAAAUUACGCAAUUUCUUUACUUAAUAUGUUGAUCCGUAUAAAUCCCUAAAUUAUGUUAAUAUGUCUUUUGAGAGUAAGGGCAACUGACUCUAAGUUGAUUAAUGAAAGUAUGUUUUUAAUUAAACCCUCUAUUAUCACAUUAACUCGAUUUAUAGAUUCUCCUAUUAGAUUUGACUUUAAUCUGGUAGAUUUAUGUUGUCUUUUUUCUAGGAUUACAUGCAACUCCACUCAAUUACGCAAUAUUUACUCUUAAAUAGGGUAUAUUUCUCCUCUGAUUUAAGCACAUCAAACAUGGAUCAAUAAUCUAGAAAUAUUAAACCAAGAAUUAAGCACACAUAAUUGAGAACAAGAAACUAAGUAUUUAUUGCAUAAAAUAAAACUCAAACGACAGAAUUCAUCAUAGAGUUCAUCUCCCCUAGGUAUUUAGAAAAUUAGUUCAUGCUUACAAAUAAAAACAUAAAAAAAUACAGUAUAACCACAAGAAAUAAAGAAACUCAUGAUAAUCUCUUGAGAAAUCCAAUGCGAAUCUUCAAUCUUGACGAAAAUCUGCUUCAGAAUCGAGUUCAAUGAUGUUUUUCGAGUUGUUUUUUUGAGUAUUCUAUGAUACUCUCACCUAUCUUUUUUUUUUUGUCAUAUAUACGUCUUAAAAUGCUCGAAAAACCUAAAAAUCACUUUUUUCCACAAUUCAAAAGGUUAAUAAGUGAAAUCAACACGGCUUGCCACAUGGUCGUGUGGUAGUCGUGGCUCAUACAGCUAUGUGGCUAGGCCGUGUGGAAGGGGUCAGCCUCUGUAGCUCUUGUACCUUGCUCUGAUUUUUUGGAUUUCGCUCAUUUUUUGCUCAUUUUACUCCCAAAUGUUCUUCUAAGUAUAAAAAUAUGAAUUUAAAUGAUUAGGAGCAUAAAAUUCACAAUUAAUAUCGAAUAAUCACUCAAAAACGCAUUAAGAAUGAGAUUAAAACAUGUUACUUUUAGCACUUAUCAUUUAUAGUUCCACCUACCAUGUCCACGAUUACAUCUUUUGAAUUUGUUAUGUAUUGCUAUAUUCACUUCAGAGAAUGAAGCAGAUCCGGUAAGACGAACUUUAUGAUUUCAUUUACUUAUUUAAUAACUCAUUAUUUUAUUCAAGUACAAGUAAACAAUAUUUUUCACAUUAUUGCUAUUGUAGGAGCACAUUUAAAACAUGAAAAGUUGAAAAAGUUUUCUAACAAGUUCUUAUCAGUAAUGCUCUUCCCAUAUAAUGUCAAUUUGAGAACUUAUCCUAAAUACUACAAAGUUACAUUAACUCACAAUUUUAAAAUUUUACAACUUCAAGUGCAUCAAAUUGUAACGAACUUUAAAUAAAAUUAUCAUAUUCCAAUGACCAUAUAUUUCUCUUAAAAUUAUUCCACAAAUUAAGUGGAUCUUUUAUAGUCAAAUAUUCAACUUUCAACCCUCCAUGGAGACGGUGACAAAGGGAGAUCACGACCAAAAUUCAAUUUAAUAACAAAAGUGAUAAAUAUAAUUCAAGAACUCAAACAUUCUCUAUCCUUUCCAAAAUAAAGAUAGUAUCCAAGUAUCAUGCAUAAUAUAAUUCAAUAUAUGAAUCUUUCUGUGUCAAAAGAGGUAAAUACUCAUAGUAAGAGUAGCUCAUAUUAGGGGUGAGCAAGAUCAGAUUCAAUUCGAAAAACUUGAUAAAAAUUUUAAAUUUUGAAUUAAAUAGUUCAAGUUAUUUGAGUUAAUCGAGUUAUUUAGAUAAACUCGAAUAAAAAAUCAAAUUUUUCGGUUUAACUCGAAUAUAAAUUAUACAAUUCGAGUUAUCUAAAAAUUCGAAUAAGAAAAGACAAAACUACGUUGUUUUGAUAAAUGUUUACCUUUUCUAAAGUUAAAAUUCAAAAUCGUUAAGUUAAAAUGCAAAACCAUUAUAUUGUUUAUGUAGUUAAAUAAUAUUGUACUUCGUCAACUAGUUAAAUAAUUGGUCCAUGUAAACGUAGCAUUGAGUAUAUAUACUAGGAUUUGUUAACUCGACUUGAAAUUUUUUGACUCGAUUCGAUUCGAUUUGAUUUGAAAAUUUUUCAAAUUGAGUUCAGUUGCUAAAAUAGAAUUCGCCAACUCAACUAACUCGAAAUUUUUUGACUCGAUUCGACUCGGCUCGAUCAAAUGCUCAUCCCUAGCUCUUACUGAAUAUAAUCUUUUACUUAUUCACAUUCUCAAUACAAGAUCCAUUAUAUUGAAUAUCUUUUAAAACUAAUGCAUUAAUCAUUACAAAUUUUGUUCUUUUAGAUAUUGAUAUAUUAGCUCUUCUAGAGCUUUAAACAUGUUGAUUUAUUUCAGUAUUGAGAUUGAUUAGAACAUAAUAUAUUAAUUAUCACAAAUUGUAUUCCUUAAAAUAUUGAUAUAUUAGCUCAUCUAUAGCUUUAAAAUAAUUUUGUAUCAUCAAAGAUUUGUUUGUUUUAUUACCAAACAAGAACAAUGCUGUAUUACAAUAUGUAUUUGACAAGUGAUUUUUCAUAUCAUAUUAAUAACAUGAGUUAUCUUUACUGAAGUGUUAUCUUGUGAACUCUCAUUGUUUUUUGUUCUCUUCUUUAUUACUAUAUUUCCACUUCUAGUGGUUUAUUAUUACGCCACUUAUUAUGUCCAUGGUAGAGGUGUUCAUGGGCCGGGCCGGGUUCGGGCCGGGCCCAGAAAAAAUUUCGGCCCGGGUCCUAGGCCCGGGCCCGGCCCGGCCCGAAAUAUGGGCCUAUAAUUUUGCCCAUGCCCGGCCCGGGAAAAAAAUUCAUAAGCCCGGGCCCGGCCCGGCCCGUUUUUUAAAUAAAUACCAAAAAUUUAUUUUAAAAAUUAAAAUAAAAAUUAAAAAAAGUAUUUUAAAAAUAUUUUAAAAUUAAAAAAAUUAAAAAAAGUAUUUUAAAAAAAUUUUAAAAAAAUUUAAAAUUAAAAAAAUUAAAAAAAAGUAUUUUAAAAGUAUUUUAAAGUUAAAAAAUAAAAAAUAAAAAUAUUUAUUAUUCGGGCCGGGCGGGGCCGGGUCAAAAAAGUGGUGCCCGAGGCCCGGCUCGUUUUUUAAUCGGGCCUCGUUUUUUUGCCCAAGCCCAUAUUUCGGGCCUAUAUUUUUACCCAAACCCUCCCAUAUUUCGGGCGGGCCGUCGGGCCGGGCCGGGCCGCCCGGCCCAUGAACACCUCUAGUCCAUGGUUAUAUCAUUAUUAUUUUUUAUGUUUGCAUUCACUUCGAGUAAAAGAUGUAAUAGGGUGAACUUCUAAACGUCCUAAUAUAUUCUUUAAUAGAAAAGGAUCAAUAUCACAAAUAUCAAUGACUUCUCAAUGUUUUAUCGAGAGACAUCCACUUCAAACUAUUUCUAUUGACUAAAAUCUUUAUAAUUCAAUAACUUCAUAAAUUUAGCUACGGGUAGGAAACCAAUAUAGAGACAAAAUACUGCCUCACGAUUAGAGGUGUCUAUGGGCCGGGCCGGGUUUGGAUUGGGCCGAGCCCGGGCCAAAAAAGUGGUGCCCGAACGGGUCGGAAUUUUUUUGCCCAAACCCAUAUUUCAGGCAGGCCGUCGGGCCGGCCGGGACACCUCUACUCACAAUACAUACAUAUAAAUAUUGUUAUGAUAAUAUAAUUUUUUAGCAUCAGAAAAAUAAACCAAUAAGAUGAACCAAAGAAGAUCAUAAUUGUUUUAUUCAUUAGUAGAACACAUAGUAAUUGAAAAAACUGGUUGAAAAAUAAAAACUUCUUACCAAAAUUGAAAUUUACCUAUACUUACACAAUAUUAAGAACAAGAAUUAAGAUCCAUUGAAUCUUUUAAUAUCUUUAGCAUCAUACAAAUAAAACAAGUUAAUUAAAUAAAUCAUAGAUAAAAUAAUAAUAAUCUCAAUAUAAAAUAUUAAAUAAAAAUUUCUUGCAAAUCCCUUCUUCUGGUGGUUGUCUUCCUUUUCCUCUCUUCCACGUUAAUUAUGUUAUACAUUUCUUUGUGCGUCUAGAUAAGAAUAUAUUGGGAGGCCAGAAUGGUUGAAGUUAGUACCUCUCUCAUCGGAGGCAUAGGUUUGAGCCAACCUGUUGCUGUUGGUUUUAUUUUCUUCAACUUGAUCCCAUAGGAUUUAUAUUCUUCUUGCAAAAGAUGUGAAAAAAAAAAUAGCUUUGUGGUUAAGGAAAGAGGGAGUAGAUGUAGGAGAUAGACUCAAUUCCCAUUUUGGUUGUUUUUUAUUGAAAUACAACUAAUUGGCUUUAUUGGUUUCUUUAUGCACAGGAUUUAAAAGGUUAGUGCACUUGAGCAGUUAUGAGUCUUAAAAGUGGGGUUUGGAUGAGUGAUUAGACGCGGUGAAGUAUAUUUAGUUUAUUUUUUGUCUUGUGUUAUAGUAUACAAUUUUAUUGUUACUGCUAUUUUUACAUUAACCGUAAAUAAAUAUACAUCAUCCAAACUAAGCCUUAGAAAAAAAUAAAAGAAGAGCAAUUUAAGAAAAAUCUUCCUAUGAUAAAAAUAAAAAUCGACAUAAGAUAACCUAUUUUAUUUAUUAACAUAUAUGUUUAUAAUCAUUUUUUAAAGCUUAUAUUUAUAGAUAUAAAACGUAUAAAUAAAAUAAGAUUUUACUUUUAUUAACUAUUAGAAUUCUAAAAUAAAUUAGACUUAGACAUUUAUUUAAUAAUAUUUUAUUUUAUUUUAUUUAUAAGAUUACAACGUCUCUUAAACACUUUAAAUUUAAUAUUUAAUUUAAAAUAAUGUGUGAUGCUUAUUAAACAAUAAAAACAAUGUGAAGUAAAAAUGUUUCUCAUGUUAAAUUUUAAAUUUAUCAAAAAAAAAUACAUUUCAUAUUUCAUAACUUAAAUAUUAUACUUAAAUUUUCUAUUCUUAUUUUUAACCAUUAAAUUUAUGAAAGAAUACUUAAAUAAAAAUAUAUUUAAUUUUCAAUAAUUUGGUUGAGAAAAUUAAAAAAGAAAAAAAAGGGAUGGUGUGAAGGCAGAGUAGGUAUGUGGGGACAUAGGAUAGGCGGAGGAGUUUGUGGAAUCUGCCACUCUCAGCCUUAGCUUGAUUGUAUUGGCCAGUGGGAGGCGUUGAGUUGAGCUGUCUGUCUGUCUGUCACGUAAAAAAGGUAAAUUAUGUGCAGAGGAAAGAGAGCACAUUUAUGGUUAUUGGUACAAAAUGUGAUCUGUCUUUUCACUUUGAACACACUUUGCUCAAGGGAUAAUUAAUAACUGGGUGGACUUAAUUAAUUUAUUCAAGCUACUUUUUUUUUUUUGGAAAUUAAUUUUCUGCAAACUGGGAAGCAUUCCAAAUUUAGUGCUGAGGUAUAGUAGUAUGACUAUGUACCAUGUUCAUUCAAGUUGUAAUAUUUGUUUAUUUAAGUCGAUGAUUAAAAUAUUCAUCGCUUCAUAAGUGUUUUAAGUUCAAAUCGUGUUAAUCACAUUGCUCUCUUAUAAUUCAAAAAAAAAUUGUUAAAUUUCUUCCGACCUGGCAAUUAACAUUAUUGGAUUUUGCUUCUAGGCUUCUACCUAUACUAUAUUAUACAUAGAAAACCUAAUAAAUGAUGAAUUAUUACCUUUUUUGCAUUUUUAAAGUGCAAUAUUAUUACUAUUAAGAAUGUGUUUGGAUGGACGAUUGGGUACGAUGCAGUGUGUUUAGUUUACUUUUUAUUUUAUGUUACAGUAUCACUAUAGUAUUUAAUCUCACUGUUAUCGCUGUUUUUAUACUAAUCGCAGGUAAAUAUUUCGUGCAUCUAAACUUACCUUAAAUGAUGUGAACUAGUCGCUAGCUGGAUUUUAAUUAUACAUAUCUUUGUUUAAGGGUGAGUUUGAAUGGACGGUGCGUUUACCUGUAGUUAGUGUAAAAACAGCAGUGACGGUGAGAUUAGAUAUUGUAGCGAUACUGUAGCGAGAGACAAAAAAUAAAUCAAACGCACUGCACCACACCGAAUUGCCCAUCCAAACCCACCCUAAAUCUCAUUCCAUAUUAUACCUGUUUGGAUCUAAAUAUAUUAUUUUUCAAAAAAAAAGUAAAAAUAUUUAAUAAUUUAACUUUUUUUUGGUUAAAUUAAAGUUAAUUAAAAAAGUAACUUUCAUUGAUUGGAGAAGCAAGUUUGUGGGAGGCUUCAAUUUUAUGAAUUCACAACUCCCAAAAACAUGAAGAAGGAAAAGGUGAGAUUCCAAGUUGCUAUUUUGGUAAUAAUUCAAAGGAGGCGGCCAAAAACAUAACCUCCCACAACAAUGUGAAGUGUGAACCCCCCAGAAUCUUUAUUUCCUAGACUUCCCUUUACCAUCAACUUCUCUUUUUCUUUUUUCUUCUCAAUAUCCACAUAUAUCUAUUUCCCUCACCAAUGCCAUCAUGCUUGCUUCAAAAAUAAAAAAUAAAAUCCAUAUCUAUUUAUAUUAUGCCUAUACUAUUCUUUUCACUUUGGUCCUUAAAGUUUUUUUUUGGCCCACUUCAAUUCCUAGCCUUAUCAAACAUUUUCGGGUUCAAUCCACCAGUUGAUGGCACAUUUUAUAUGACAAAUAUAAAUUUUGAUAUAUCAAUUAUAAACUCAGAUGAAUUGAAUUAUAAAAUAAUUAUAAUAGGUGGUAUCUGUUCAAGAGACAAUGAUCUCGUAUUCAAGCUAUAAUAAAUGUAAUUUAUAAAAUUUUAAAAAUAUUAGAAUUUGUAAAAUAUUUUAAAGGUUUUAGUAAAUUCAAUUAAGGUUUUUUUUUAUUUUUAUUUUUUGCAAUUUUCUAUUUUUAAAUUUUUAUUUUGUCUAUUUAUGUUGAAAUUAAAAAAGUAUAUAAAAAGAAAGUGAUAUUUCAAUUUUACAUGACAUGAUGACAUAACUGUUAAGACCAGUAUAAGAAGCCUAGCAGUUUGAUUUAUAUACAGUCUGGGUAAAUAGAUUUCCACUCUGCAAAUUUCAAGAUGGUCUCAACAUGAAGUCAACUAGCAGUACCUGGGAAUUUAGGCUAAACUAUGUUUUAAUCUUAUUCCAUACCCAUAUAACUUAUGCUUCAUAUAUCAAUAAGAAAGCCAUACACAAAUUCAUAAUAUGGGAGGAAACAAAAAUUAUAAUCUUCCUAAAAGAAAUAGAUUUGAGUUUAACUAUACUUUCCUAAGUAUAUUAAACAUGUUGCAUCGAUAAGUUCAUCAACACUGGGGAUGUUUCAAGUGCCAAAUGUGUGUGUGAGGUUGGAGUUUAAUUAAUAAUGAAGGCUCAACUUGCACAUCGACAACACUAUACACUUGCUCUGAAAUUCAAGAAAGAGAUUAGGGAUGAGCAGACAAGGAUUGAAGGCAAAAAGAAAAGGGGCUCUUUUCAGCAACUGGUUAUUGUUGAUUUUAAAUGAUAGUUUAUUUCAUCCCUUCUUCAGCUUCCUCUAUGGUGAAAGCAACCAAAAAGAGAACCUACCUACUGCUGUCAUGCCAUGUUGAUUUCAUCGACUCUGAUUUGCUACUAAAACAAAAUUCAUUUCAUUUGAUUAUGAGUUGUUUCUCUGCUUUAAUUGCAUUUUUUAUAUACUAAUUAUCAUCCUCAUCUUGACCCAUCCAUAUUUAGACUUUGUAAUUUGUUGAAGCAUAAAUGGUAGGAAACCCUAGUCUUUCAGAAACCAACAAAACUUGGAUAUUUCUUAUGUUGUCUCCAUAAAACAUUCAUGCACAAGUUUUAUUUUGUCUAUUUAUCUUGAUGUGAUCAUUUACAAGUCCCCUAACAUGUUAUCUAAAUCCAUUGUCAAACCUGUUUGAGUUAUAUAUUUGUUGAUGUGAUCCGGCACCCGAGGAUGGAUAUAAUCAUAUAUAUUACAGUACAAAUCAAAUAUUGUUUUUAUUGUCUUCUUUAAGUAUCAUUGAAAAAACAUAGCCUUCUUCUGCUACACCCAGUUUCUACUUCCAACGAAAGAUUCAAUUCCGCUGACAAAAACUGUGAACUCUCAAACAUAAAACGAAGCUGGAGCCAUCAGAGAUCAACGACGAAUCACUUUUGCCAUUCCAUUGAUUGUAUUGAUAUUCUCUUGAGUUGUUCGACUGGACUGAGUAGGAUUUGGUAGAGUUGAAUUCUGUAAAACAAAAGGUUAGUUAGAGAUGUCCGACCUUGUGCUCCUAAAUAUUUUUUGCUACUUAAGUCACCGACGGGUGCCGUGGUAUAGAGGAGGAAGCAAAAGAGCUUAAGAUAUAGUAAGUAAAUGGUCGAGUGUUAAGAUGUGUGUCUUAAGGUUUUUAUGCCUGAUUUUUGGGCCUUCUAGAUCAUGCUUACUAGUUAUCAGACUGUUCUUGAUGUGCUGGUCUGUUUAGUGAUUAGUUUGUGUACUCUGCAACUUUGGUUGAUUACGCUAUAUUAUGAUAGCGCUGCUAGGCAUUGUCGAUUGUCUAUUGUGCCAAUUGAUUUAUUCUCCAGUCGGUUAGGUUGGGUGUUUAAGUUUUUUAUUUUUAAACAAUAGAAGACUUGCAUACAAGCAAAAGAGUGAAAGCUCAAUACAAGUGAAUGGAAGCCUAAGCCCCAAACAAGCUCCAUACUAAAGCUCUAAUCAAACCAAAAUAAAGGCCCCCCCAAAACUACUAAACGUAAAGCCCAUGUCGGGUAGCACAGGAGAACACAACACUUGAGUCAAGCCUCCACCUCUACGAAGGAAGGAGCAAAGGAGGACUCACAUUGGUAUUAAAUUGACAAGCAAACCAUCAAAAUGAGCAUUCACUUUGAUGUGAAGAGUCGCCCUUACUCCUGUGUGGAAAGGUCUCGAUGUGAGAAAUUUCACCAAAUAUCAAUAAAAUGCGAGUCAUCAUAGACUACGGCCCAACAAAACAUACGAGCAUAAAGAUCAUUUUGGCAAACUCGCCGGAGUAGGGGUGAACAGUGGGGGCGGCGACCGACAGUUCAACGGCGCCAAAGGCCCCUUGUUUAACUAUAACUAGUAGAAUAGGCUCUUCAGCUGUCACUCCACUGUACAGUUUGGCAAUGCGUUGUCAAGAUUAUGUUACCAAUACCAUUGUUACCAAACUAUUUUCCUUCUCUUAUUUAGUAAGUUGUAUUUUAUUUGCUUUAGCAUGUAUCUAGCUAAGCCCUUUGCUUGUCAUUGUCUGCCCCAAAAAAGGAACACCGCUGCUACUUUCGGUUGCUGGCAAGCAAAAACCUCUUCCCCAAUUAUAUAUAUUUACGUUACUCGCAACACAAUUUUCUCAAAGCAAAAAACCCUUGUAUCUUUUUGAGCAGAAGAGCCAACAUGAGCAGUAUCUGCACAUCUUUCAACAUCAUAACACACCAAGGUUUUCCUCUGUUCCAAAACUGUAUUCGAUGUUGUUUUAAAAGCUCUAUUCAUCACAAAUAUGAUAUCACAUGUUUUCACUCUUUCAUGCUUUGUUGGUAAAACCAUCACAUUACUCUAGCGGAUUACAUUUUAUUUUUUUAUUUAAAAAAUAAAUUAGUUUCUAUACAUUAAAUUAAAGAUUAAAGAGUAAAUCAAUUUUUUAUUAAAAAUAAAAAUUGAUGGAAAUUUUAACAAGGCUUCCAUUUUACUUUUACCAUGGUUUGUUUGCACUAUAUUUGUUCAGAUAUCGUUAUAAUAAAUGUCAGUAAUGGCAAUAGAAUGAUCGCAAAAUAAGAACAGAGAAGAAGAAAUUCACUAAUGUUGAAUAACAAAUAAUGCAAAAGGAGUUUCAACUACAUCUAUUUAAAGGUUGAAAAACAUUAUUCUAAUAAAUGUCAAAUAGAAGAAGCGUAGUUCUUUAUGGAUUCUACUUGUGCGGCAUGGUUGAAAGAUCUCGGCCUCUCACCCCCACAUAUCCCCUUAUUUUGUCACUAUAUCUAUUUCUUCAACAAGUGACGAGAUUCGGGUCACACAAACUCUAACACAUAUGUUGCAUUAAAUUGUUGAUGCUAUAUUAAUCCGCACAUGUUAACUCAUAUUACCCUAUAAAAAUAAAUAUACUUAAAAGGUUUUUUAUUUUUUCAAUAUAGCUUGUUGACACCAUUUUUUGAUAAAACGGGAUCGACUUGGGUUUUGAAAAAUGAAAUCGAAUGUGGGAGUCGCCACCAAUCUUUUUUUGAUGAGGUGUGAUCGGAUCACCUCGAAAAGUGGUUGUUUUUAAUAAAUGAUUUGAUUUUAUUAAAACAACGAUUUUGGUCCACGUAAUUAAAAAAAAACAGGUUUGGGAGUCAGUUACGUACGAGGAAGGGUUAACACCCUCAUAAUGUCCAAAAAUUGGUACCUAGUUGAUUAGUUAAUGUCUUGAUGUCGAAAAUUUAAAAUUUGGAAGAAUUUUAAAAAUACGAUCCUUGUAUUAAAACGUUGAAAAUUUCCAGGAAAAGGGGCAAACUUUACGUUAAUCGAGAAAGAGAAUCAUAUCCAGUAAGUUAGGACACAAUGUCUCGAAUUUUCGAUACGCGAAUGAAUGCUAAAAAUUUGCUUAUUUUAAAAGAUAUUUAGCCAUCUCGAAUUUUUAAAAAAAGAUAUCAGACCCAGUAAGUUAGGACUUGAUCUUUUUUUUUUUAAUUUUCGAGACCGUUUAAAGCUUAAGUUCGAAAAAGAUUCGUGCAUUUAGAUUCAUCGUGAAAAUCGAAACCCAGUAAGUUAAGGUAUGACCUUCUUAAAAUCUAAACAUACGAAAUGCCAUUUUUUAGAAUAAAUUUUGACAUAUUGAGUGAAAUAAAACAUGAUGUUGUGAUAAAAAGAAUGCGAAAAUAGAUGAUAUUGCUGAUAUACAUAGCAGAACAAUAAUGUAUACAGUAGUGUAAAGAUAAUAUGAGCAACAUCAACAAAAUAAGAUAAAUAAAAAGGACAAAUCCAUAAUAUACAAAACAAAUAUACAAACAAAUAAUAUUAAAACAUUCUAAAAAAAUAAAAAUAAAAGAAAUAAUAAUCAUGAAAAAAAACGUAGAUAAAUAAACGAAUCAAGAAAAAUGAAUAAAAUUAUAAUAAUAUAAAAAAGAUAUAUAAGUAUGUAUAUAUAUGUAAAUCAAAGAUAUAUAAUUAAAUUUAAAAUUGAAAAAAAAGAGUGCAAAUGAGUAACUAAUAAUGAUGAUGAUGAUAAUAAUAAUAAUAAUAAUAAUAAUAAUAAUAAUAAUAAUAAUAAUAAUAAUAAUAAUAAUAAUGGUAAAAAUAAAAAAUAAUAAUAUGAGUAAUAAUAAAACAAUAGUAAUAGGGGUAAUAAUAAUGAUUAAAGUUAAUUAAUUUAAUACAAAUAACAAAAAAAAGGACUAAUUUGAACUUUAAAGCAGAAAUUAAGGGUAAAUCUGCAAAUAAAUUAAAAGAAAAGGACCGAAUAGAGUGCGCGAAUAACAAAGAGAGACUAAAGGGGAAAAUAUUCCCUCCCUCCAAAACGCAGCGCUUUACACGGGACUCAAAUGAAAUCAAAAUAAAAUUUUAAGGCCAAAUUAAAAUAAAUAACAUAAGAUAGGACCCAAAUGUAACCAGUCUCAAAAGCGGAAGGACUAGAGGAGCAAAUAGCCCCCUUGUCCAAAAACACGUGGAUCCUAGGCGGGUCGGGUCGGUUUCAGGUCAGCCUCCCCAAAACGAUGCCGUUUUGGCGUCUGGGGAGGCCAAGCUAAACGGCGCCGUUUCAUACAGGCUAUAAUUGCCAAAUUUUUUUCAGAAUUCCUCAUUUUCAUCCCUUUUUAAAAAAAAAAACUGAGCAACCCUCUCCCAUUUUCUCUCAAAACAACUGGCCUUUGUGUGGCCAGUGGCACAAAAUCGGACCUUUUUGGUCCCUUUUUGAAGCUGAAUGUCUCUAGGACACGGAUUCAGGGCUAAAUCUGUCAAUAGAUGGGCCAAACUCAGAAAAACAAGAGGAAAUCGUUCGCCUUUCCCCUCCGGCGCGACACAGGUAAACUCCAUUCACCUUUCUUUUAUUUCUUUGUAUUUAGAAACGAAAACAAAAUCAAAACGAAACAAAAUAACAGAUCUAAAAAAAGGGCAUUAAUCACCUUAAGAAUUUUUUUCUUUUUUUUUUGAAUCCUCUUUUUAUUUCCUGAUGUUCAUAAAAAAAGGGGGGUCGAACCCCUACAACUGAUUUUUGCUUGGCUUUUAUAGCCAUUUUACAAGCUUUUUUAAAUACAUUUUUUUGUCACUCCAGUUGCAGACGCAAGUGGGGUGAGAGUCGGUGGUGGCAGUUACGGCAAUAGCAGAGGGCAGGUGGCGAGGCUGGUGGUUGCAGCGCUAGGCUAGGGUUUCAGAAAACUGAAACCCUAGUUUGACCAUUGAGGUUGACUUUGGGCCCAAUGUAUUUGGGCUUGAUUAUUGGGCCAUUAUUUUUUGUUUUGUUGGGUUUUGGGUGUUGUUUGGGUUUGUAUUGGUUUUGGGCCCGAACAGAAUGGGUCUGUACAACUGCCCAUCUUUGCUCGUUGUUGUGUAACGGGAACAGAGCAAAGACUAAGAAAGACCAAUUUUGCCUGGCCUCGCCAAGUUUCAACUUCUUUUGACGCUUCUCUUCUUCAAAUAACCCCAUUCCAAUUCACUGUGUCUUAUCGCUUCAAUCCAUUCCACUACACUUCAGGGAGAUCUGACUUGUAGCUUCAAUCUUCUUCGCAUCAACUUUGGGGUACGAGAUUUAUGGUUUUAGUCUAUUCCACUGCAAUGUCAAUGAGAUAAGACUGGAUGCGAUCUGCUCUACUGCAACUUCAGAGAGAUAAAAUUCGUGGUUUCAAUCCGUUCCACUACAAUUUCAGAGAGAUACGGCUUGUAUUCUUCUGUCUGUUUAAUUGCAAUGUCGGGGAAGCAAGAUUCACCGUCGUAGCUUCAAUCUGUUCCAAUGCACCGCUAGGAAAGUAAGAUUCGCCGUUGUGGCUUCAAUCUUUUAAUUGCAAUGUCAAGGAGAUAAGAUUCGUUGUUAUAACUUUAAUCUGUUCCACUGCACCGCCAGAGAAGUAAGAUUCGCCGUUGUGGCCUCAAUUUUUUAAUUGUAUGUCGGGGAAGCAAGAUUCGCUGUUGUAGCUUCAACCUGUUCCACUGCACCGCCCUAAAAGUAAGAUUCACCGUUGUGGCCUUAAUCUUUUAAUUGCAAUAUCGGGGAAGCAAGAUUUGCUGUUGUAGCUUCAAUCUGUUCCACUGCACCGCCUGGAAAGUAAGAUUCGCCGUUGUGGCCUUAAUCUUUUAAUUGCAAUAUCGGGGAAGCAAGAUUUGCUGUUGUAGCUUCAAUUUGUUCCACUGCACCGCCAGGGAAGUAAGAUUCAUCGUUGUGGCUUAAAUCUAUUUAACUACAAUGUCGGGGAAGCAAGAUUCGCCGUUGUAGCUUCAAUCUGUUCCACUGCACCACUUGGGAAGUAAGAUUCGCCGUUGUGGCUUUAAUCUUUUAAUUACAAUGUCGGGGAAAUGAGAUUCACCGUUGUAGCUUCAAUCUGUUCCACUGCACAGCUUGGAAAGUAAGAUUUGUCGUUGUGGCUUCAAUCUUUUUAAUUGCAAACUAUGGUUUCUUUGAUCUGCUUUACUGUCAAUUCACGAAGGCAAAAUCUGCCAUCUUCAUUGAUCUGUUCUUUGGGAAACAUGACCUGUAUAACCUAUUUUAUGAACCUAUUUCUGCCUAGUGAUUAUGAUCGAAAUGAAUCAAAAUAUCCUGGCUAAAUGUGUAUGCAUGAACGCAAAAUGAAAAUGAUCUCUCAAUGUUUGAGGUGUUAUUGCCCAUUGCUCAAUAAGACGUUAUUGCCAACAUGUCAGAAUGCUAUUUUGUCCGGUUGGUAAUGCUCAUCUCUUACUUGAUCGGAUUGCCCCCACUGUAAUCUUCAAAGUUUAAUCCGUUGUGAUUUUCAAGGUUAAGCCCACUGUAAUUUUGGGACAUAAAAUUCAAAACCAUCAUCCUCCUACUGCAAUUUAGGAGUAUAAGAUCUGGCUUCUUCUGAAAUCUCUCCCACUGCAAAUCGGGGAUACAAGAUCUGAAUCUCCUUAGUUUUUUACACUAUUCCCAAGGUGUCGUACCAAGUGUUUAUACACAACUGUAAGACUUUUUCUUCUGAGAAAACCUCUUCUUAUCACUCGGUGAUCAUUAAUUGUUUGUUUAUUGAAGUUUUGUCACAAAUACGACAUCUUGUCAUUUUGUUUAAUCAAUGUUUGGGCAACAAAAUCCGAAAGGAUAGUCUUAAUUUAGGCCUUCCCUUCUUAAACAUUUCAAACUUUAAACUUGGUGUGUUCUAAACAACAGUCAUGUUUCAGGUUCCUAUAUUAUUUAGAAAUUUCUAGAGUAAUAUACAAAACUCCUUUUGCUUGAACAUUCAGUCCAUUAAUCAUUAUUUCAAUGUUUGAAAAAGAUUAUCACAAUGGACAAACAAAAUGUUAUUGAGAACAAAUCUUGAAAUGAAUAGGUUAAUCAAGAUAGCAAAUUUUGUUAAAUAAGAUGAAAAAGACAAUGGACAAGAUGGAAUUUUAUUGAGAGCAAAGCUUGAAAUGAAUAUAUUAAUCAAGAUAGCAAAUUUUGCCAAGAUUCAAAACAAAUAAGAUGACGAUAGGUGCCCAGAUAUCGCAGCACGAGCUUCCCUGUAUAAGCUUUCUAAAAAACAUUCUGAAUUUGAUAUGUGUUUAGGAAAUCUACAGUACUUUGUCGAUGCCCCAAGAUGUCGCCCACCCUUUUCUUGUUGAUUCAGGUAUAGCGAGACCACCACAUGCUCCAGAUCUUGAUCAAAAUUUGAUAUGCUCCGAUCAACUCAGGUCCCAUCAAAAUUUGAGCCACCGUUUUCAGGUUUUCAACUCAAAUCCCCUUUGGUCUCACGGCGCCCUUUAUGGGUUUUCACCUUAGCCUCUCCUUUUUUUUUUGGACUUAAAGUGCAAUUUACGGGUUUUCACUUUGGUCCUCCUCAUUUAAGUGAAGUAUUUCUUAACUUAAUUUGAGUUUAUAGGAUUUGGCAAGCUUUUACCAUCCAUCUCGCUCAAGAUUAGAGCUCCUCCAGAAGAGGCCUUCUUUACGAUAUAAGAACCUUCCCAAUUUGACAUCCAUUUCCCUCUAAAAUCUUUUUGUAGAGGAAGAACCUUUUUCAACACUAGGUCCCCCUCGUGAAAUUCUCUGGGGCAAACCUUUUUGCUAUAGGCUCGCAUCAUUCGUUUCUGAUACAUGUGACAGUGACGAAUGGUUUUUAGCCUCUUUUCUUCUAUAAAGUUUAGCUGAUCAUAUCGAGAUUGAAUCUAUUUGGCCUUAUCUAACUUUAGUUCAGCUAAUACCCGUAGAUAAGGGAUUUCGACUUCUAUGGGUAAAAUCGCCUCUAUCCCAUAGACUAAAGAAAAUAGUGUUGCUCCAGUAGAAGUCCUAAUAGAUGUUCGAUAUACUAGGAGAGCAGAAGGUAAUUUCUCGUGCGAGCCCUUGUAGGUCUCAGUUAUUUUCCCUACAAUUUUCUUGAUAUUUUUGUUAGCUGUUUCCACGGCACCAUUCAUGUUUGGGCGGUACGGUGACGAAUUAUGGUGUCUGAUCUUGAACUGAUUACAAACUUCCACUAUUAAGUUGUUGUUCAAGUUUAGCGCAUUGUCAGAUAUGAUCCUUUCAGGCAUUCCGUAUCGACAUAUAAUAUUCUUUUUCAAAAACUUGCUAACUGCUAAUUUCGUGACGUUAGAAUAUGAAGUAACCUCAACCCAUUUAGUGAAAUAAUCAAUAACCACAAAGAUAAAACGAUGCCCAUUAGAAGCCUUUGGAGAUAUUGGCCCGAUGACAUCCAUUCCCCACAUGGAGAAUGGCCAUGGAGAGGUCAUAACGUGAAGGGGUGAAGGUGGUGCGUGCAUUUUGUCACCAAAAAUUUGACAUUUAUGACACUUUUUGGAAUAAUUAACGCAAUCCCCUACCAUGGUGGACCAAUAGUACCUAAAUCUCAUAAUCUGUUUAGCCAUUGUGAAGCCAUUAGUAUGCGUUCCACAGAUAUCUUCAUGGACUUCUUCCAAAAUUUUCUUAGCCUCCACAACAUCCACGCAUCUAAACAAUACUUGAUCCUUUCCCCUAUUGUACAAAAUCUCUUCAUCUAGGACAUAGUCAAUAGCCAGCCUCCUUAAUGCCUUUUUGUCAUUUUCUGUCGCAUGGUUGGGGUAUUCACGAUUCUUUACAUAUCGUAGUAUGUCUUGGUACCAUGGAUGGUCAUAAUUUUCCUCUUCUUCAAUACUGUAGCAAGUAGCUGGGGUCUCAUGAAUGCUGAUCUGAAUAAGCUUCAUAUCUUCUGGUUUGUUCACUUUGAUCAUAGAGGCUAGAGUAGCCAAGGCAUCAGCCAUCUGGUUUUCGUCUCGUGAGAGUUAACAAAAGGUGACACUGUCAAACUCCUCAAUCAAUUCCAGAACUAAUUUUUGAUAGCGGACUAACUUAGGGUCUCUCGUUUCCUGUUCCCCUUUGAGCUGGUAAAUUACUAAUGCAGAGUCUCAGUAUAUCUCUAGUAUCUUAAUUUUUCGCUCUAUGGCUGCCCGGAUGCCCAUGAUGCAAGCUUCAUACUCAGUCAUGUUAUUGGUGCAAUCGAAAUCCAAUUUACUGGUAAAAGGAUAAUGAUCUCUAUUAGGGGACCCUAGGACUGCCCCAAUUCCAUUGCCUACAGCAUUCAAAGCUCCGUUAAAGUUUAACUUCCAAUGAUGAUUUUUAUGGGAAUCCUCUUCAGCGGUUGCCACAUACAUCAAGUCUUCAUUCGAGAAAUUAUAAUUCAGAGGUUCAUAGUCUUCUAAAGCUCUGCUGGCCAAGAAUUCUGCAAUCGCACUCCCUUUGAUAGCCUUCUAAUUUACGUAAACUAUAUCAAAUUCGGAGAGUAGGAUCUGCCACCUAGCCAUCCUCCCGUUCAAUGCUGUUGACUCCAUCAUAUACUUUAAAAGGUCUAACUUUAAAAUUAACCAAGUCGUAUGAUAGAACAUGUAUUGCCUCAAUCUUCAUGUCGUCCAGAUCAGGGCACAAUAUAAUUUUAUAAUAGGCGAAUACCUCAUUUCACAGUUAGUAAAUUUCUGACUAAGAUAAUAGAUCGCCUUUUCCUUCUUUCCCGUCGCAUCAUGUUGACCUAGCACACAUCCCAUAGAGUUGUCGAACACUGUUAAAUAUAGCACCAAUGGUUUAUCCGGCCUAGGUGACGACAACACUGGAGUAUUGGACAAGUACUAUUUUAUCUUGUCAAAAGCCUCCUGGCAUUCUUCAUUCCACACAUCUGGAUUAUUUUUCUUCAGAAGACGAAAUAUGGGGUCAUAUUUCUCGGUCAAUUGCAAAAUGAACCAAGCAAUAUAAUUCAGCCUUCUUAAGAAACCUCGAACUUCUUUCCGAGUACGUGGUGAAGGCAAAUCUCGAAUUGCCCUGACUUCGCCUGGGUCUAUUUCAAUCCCUUUUUCACUGACUACAAACCCUAGGAGUUUUCCUAACCUAGCUCUAAAAAUAAAACUUUCUUAAGACUUGCACAUGUUCUCUUUCCGUCUGGAACUUUGUGAUCAUGUCAUCAACAUAUACCUCAAUCUUCUCAUGCAUCGUAUCGUAGAAAAGGGUCACCAUGGCUCUCAGGUAUAUGGCUCCUGUAUUUUUCAACCCAAAUGGCAUCACUUUAUAACAGAAAGUCCCCAAUAAGGUUAUGAACGUAGUUUUCUUCAUAUCUUCAAGAUGCAUCUUAAUUUGGUUAUAUCUCGAGAAACCAUCCAUAAAUGAAAACAGUGAGUGCCCUGCUAUGUUAUCUACGAGAGUGUCGAUGUGAGGUAAAGGAAAAUUAUUUUUCGGGCUAGCUUUAUUCAAAUCUCUGUAAUAUACACACAUUCGUACUUUCCCAUCUUUCUUAGGGACGGGUACAAUGUUGGCUACCCAUUCGGAGUAUUUGACCACUUGUAAGAAUCCAGCAUCGAAUUGCUUUUGAACCUCUUCUUUUAUUUUUAGUACAACAUCAGGCUUCAUUCUUCGAAGUUUUUGCUGAACUGGCUCGCAAUCCUCAUUUAUAGGAAGACGGUGAACUACAAUAUCGGUAUUUAAGCUAGACAUUUCCUGGUAUGACCAUGCGAAGACGUUUUUGAACUCUCGAAGCAACUCAAUAAAGACUUGUUUUGUUUCUUCAGCUAUGCAUGUUCCAAUCUUCACCACAUUUCCCUCUUCUAGGAUCAUAGUCUCCACCGUCUCCUUAUGAGGUAGGAUUUGUUUUUCCUCCUGCUCUACCAUACUCAACAAGUCCGGAGAUAGGUUGUAAUCUAUGUUAUCUUCAAAAUCAUGAGAUUCCUCUAAACAAAUAUCCUAUUCAAAAGGAUUUUUCGAAUUUAUAGUAGAGUCACUCAUGUCAUUGAUAUCUUGGGACCUGUUAUAGGUACCAAAGAAUCUACAAGGAAUGUAUGAAUUUAAGAAUACUUAUUUAUAGUAUGGUCAUGAAUUAAUGAAAGAAUGAUUUGGAAUAAAUCUAAAAUGACUAUUCGUACGAAAGAAUGAAAGAAUCUUUAAAGAAUAUAUGCUCAAAAAGAAAUUACGAAGAUAUAUUUCAUUGAAGUCACAAUGUUCAAUAAUAUGCCCAUUUCAUAAAAAGUUUUCAUUGUCUCUAGGCUUAAAAAAAUUAGUAUGUUUUGAAUAUUACUCUAGAAAAGCUCAAAAAACUUCAGGUAUUUCUUCUGCAGUCCAAUUAUUUAGAACACUCCUAGGUUCAUAAGGACGGAUGCCUGAUAUACUUUCUUCUUCGGAUUUUUCUUUGAAUAUGGUAUUGAUGUUCAGGUCUCCUAACAUUUUCUCCGUGGUCUCCUUUCUUGGCGUCAUCAGUCCAGAAUACAUGGUUCCCCCUGGUACGAAGGUCCUGGAUAUGUGGGGGAAAAUUAUAGGUUCUCAAUUAACUUCUUCUCUAUUCAAAUGCGCCAUCCUCCUCUCUUGUCUUUUCUCUAACUCUUUCCUUCUCUACCUAGCAUUUGGCUUAAAUCCUAAACCGAAGCGAUCUCGUUUAUCUUUAACCAUUGGUGCCUCUAUUAUUCCUUGAAGGCAUAUUCCAAGUCCUCUCCCAGGCACAGGUCAUUUCCCAACUGUCAUUUGUAGUCCUAUCCUCGUGGCUCUAGAUAUGCUGGGCAUCGAGAUCUUUUUUCCCUCGACAACAAAGGUCACAUUUACGAAUUCUAAGGAUCGAAAGGAACAUUUGAUUGCCUCAUCAUCCGUUCCCAAAUAUGGUGCGUCACUGGUUACCGAUGCAAUGAUGUCUUCUUCAGCGCUUAUCGUAACUAACCGGCCUUCUGUUACCAAUUUCAACUUCUGGUGUAAUGAUGAAGGCACCGCUCCUGCUGAAUGAAUCCAAGGUCUUCCCAAAAAGCAAUUAUAUGUAGGUUUGAUAUCCAUCACUAAGAAAUCCACCUCGUAUGUAUUCGGGCCAAUCAAGAGGGGUAUUUCUAUUAUCCCCAUCACCCUCCUUUCGGCACCAUCGAAUGUUUUACUAUAUUUUGGCAUGAUUUCAUGUGAGAGCUAUCCACCAGUAACCUAUUUAAGGUGGAUACGGGUAAGACAUUCAAGGCCGAUCCAUUAUCGAUUAGCACCCCUGGUAACGUAUAUUCCCCGCAGCGAGUAGUGAUAUGUAGGGCUUUGGUGGCUCAUCUUCCCCCCGGUGGUAUUUCAUCAUCAUUAAAGAAAAUGAAAUUGUCGGCACUUAUAUUGCUAACCAAGCGGUCUAACUUGUUUAUCGAGAUAUCGUUAGCGACAUAAGUUUCAUUUAGUAUGUGUCUCUGAACUUAGAAGUAGCUUAAGCAUCGAGAUACAAGCCGGUUGCUUAUGUAGUUGUUCCACCACACUAUACUCGCUAUGCUUUAAGAAUUUUAGAAAUUCUCUAGCCUCAUUUUCAGUUACCGGCUGAUUAACAUGCGAUUUAAUUCUGUCCGUUUUUGCUUUCCCCCGCUCAACUGCUAAGGCUUUUCCUUUUGCGAAUUCCACUCCUGCAUUUGUCGAAUCAUAGCGUUUUCUACUUCCCGUAUAGAAGCCUACAUCCUCUUUUGAAGUAUUUACCAAGUUCUCUUCUCUUGGGGUUGUCACGUUGCAGUCGUAAUUCGAAGGAACCUUUUUGCUAUCCUUGUAGGGAAAGGAUACAGGUUUUUGGAUUAUGACCUUGGGCGCUAUUAGUAUUCCAGAUUCUGUGCUCCUCGGCUUUGAAAUAAUCACCAGUGGGUGAUUAACCCUUUGGGCUUUCCCUGCAGAUCCUUCCUCUAAGGCAUAAACUUCUCCCUCUUCUAGUCUCUUGAUCUCUUCAUAAAACUCCAACUCUUUAUUAUCCAUUAAGUUUUGCACCAUGGUUCUGAACUUGGUGCAUUUUUGGAUAUCGUGGCCUUCUUUCACAUGGAACUCACAAAACUACCUUGUUCCCUCAAGCAUUUUCAUUAAAUCUUGCUUGAUUAGACCUCCUUCUAUCAUUCGUUUCCAAACCCAUUCAAAUGGAGCUUUUAUCUCUGCUACACUAGCUUUGACUCUCAUUCCUCCAUUUUUAAUUAUCGCGUUCACCCCUUUAUCAGCAUGAUUGGGUAACGAAUUCCCUGCUACGUUUGGUCUUGACGGGUCACCAAAUUUUACGAUCCCCAUAUUGAUAAAUUUUUUAACUAACUUCUUGAAUGUAGUGUAGUUUUCAAUCGAGUGCCCCGUAGCCCCUAUGUGAUACUCGCAUUGGGUGUUCGCAUCGUACCAUUUAGGGUGUGGAGGUUGCAUGGGUUUUAGGUAGUAUGGAGAUACCACAUGUGCAUCGAAUAAGUUCUGGUACAUCUCUCUAUACGUCACUAGGAUGGGUGUGAAUUGGGGUCUUUCUACAUUUGUCCUUGGAUUGGAUUCCUGUUUUGAAGAAUGUUGAUGAUUAGUGGUUACUGCUCUUGCUUGUCCCACCGUGAUUGGUUUAGAAUAGUCAUUAUUAAACAUACUUGCAUUGUUUAUCUCGUGCUCUUUCUUUCUUGGGGCUGACUUUUUCGUACUUUCUCCUGCUUCUAUCUUGCCACAUCUUAUGGCAUUCUCUAUCAUUUCCCCAGACAUCACUAUAUCUAAAAAGCUUUUAGUGGCACUGCCCAAUAUGUGAUUGAGAAAUAGAGCCUUCACAGUAUUGAUAAAAAGUAUGAUUGUUUCUUUUUCCAAAAGUGGUGGUUGAACUUGCGUUGCCACAUCUCUCUACCAUUGGGCGUACUGUCUGAAGCUCUCACUAGGCUUCUUUUCCAUGUUCUACAACACAAUUCGAUUAGGUGCUAUAUCCAUCACAUGUCUGUACUACUUCAUAAAGGCCUGCGCCAAAUCUUUCCAUGAGUGGAUGUUGGCCCGGCUCAAUUGGUUAUACCAUCUUGCCGCUGACCCGAUCAAGCUGUCUUAGAAGCAGUGAAUCAACAGUGGGUCAUUGUUGAUGUAUCCCGUCAUCCUUAUACAGAACAUAGUGACAUGAGAUUCGGGGCAACUAGUCCCGUUAUACUUCUCAAACUUCAGCAUUUUAAAUUUGGGAGGGAGCACCAUAUCAGGGACCAAGCUCAAAUCUUUAGCGUCUAUUCCUCGAUGGUAAUCGGUAUUUUCUACGGUUUUAAACUUUUCCUCUAACCAUUUACACCAGUCUUCUAGUUGUUUUGGCAGGUCCACUCUUGCCUUCUCCAUUUCUGCUAUGUCGUCGAGAUCAAGAAUCACGGGAUUGGUAGGAUUAUCCCUAGGAUUAGAACUCGAGCCUGUUUGGAAGUUCAUUGACGCCGGGGCACCGACUUGGUAUUGGGAUCUAAUGGCGACAAGUACCCUAUGUGGGUACACCCCUUGUUGCGCCUGGAUAUUAGUUGGGGUGAAACCUGAAGGAUAUUCGUGAUCAUCCCUAGAAUUUACCACAGAGCUCUUCCCCUUAUCAUGCCCCCAGCCAUUAACUGUUUUAAACGACUCAAUAAAUCUCUUUGAGAUUCUUCCAUGUCUUGCUGUAUUUUAGCUAGUUUUUCUUGCAUCUGAUCUUGCAUCUCCUUUUGUAAUUGUUCUAGUCUUUCUAAUCUCUGACCCAUUGCUUUUGUUCUGCGAAGUGUACCGUAGUGAUAUCUAGUUAGCAGAGCUUUGUUAGUUUCUAGGGUAACUGUCAUAAUUUUAAUUAAUUAGGGCUAUUUUUUGAAACCUUAAUGCAGAUGAUAAAAUGCAAUGCAGACGAACGGAUGCAAAAAGAUGUAUUGAUUCUAAGUGGAUUACAUAUACGGCUUCGCCUUUAUACUCAAAGCCUUAACCUUCUUAAGGAGCGAAGCUAGCUCUCGACCUCAGCUUGAUUCUGAUUCAUAUUUUACACUCAAUACAUUAGCCUGAACUGCUAAGGUUUGCAGAUGAUCAGCUACUUCCCGAACUUGAGUUACAGCUUCACCCAUAAUGUAAUCCCUAUCUCUAAUUUGACUUUGGGAAUGAUGGAGCUACUUUUGGCACUGUUCGUUAUGCCUCUCAAGAAGUUCCACUCGUAAUUCAGUGUUUUGUAAUGCAUCUUCAAGCUCUUUUAUCCUUCCCAUUAAUUCUUCAAUCUUCCUUAAACUUGCUUUCAACUCGAUCAUAGAGUUACGACUACGGUGCAGGUAAAGCGACUUUUCUAACUCCGCUACCUGAGCUUUUAAUCUUGCUUCUUCAUUCUGGCAUUCUGACAAUCUUUCCUCCAAAGCGCUCUCUCAAGCUUGGGCGUCCUGAAAUUUCUUUUCCCAUUGAUCAGCUCUAGUCUUUUCUUCCUUGAUCUCCUUUCACCAUUACUCCGACGUUUUACCUAAACCCGCAGUCCUUAUUGACAAACGCAGCUUCUUAUAAUCCGCUUUCAGACUAUUUAAAUCCUCCUCCGCCUUGUUCUUCCAUUUCCUUAAUUUUUCAGCUUCCAAUUUGUGGAUAUCAACAUCUAAUCCCAAACGCAACUUUUCCUCUUUUAGCUGCUCUAUCUUCUUUCCCAAUUCUAAACUUCUAUUUUCGAAGUCCUAUUUGAUGAUCUCUAAUUCUGACGGAACUACUUGUAGAUGCUCCUCUAUUGGUCGAACAUCUUCUUGGCUUGACACAGAAAUAUUAUCUUUGAUCCUCAUUUCCCUCCACCAACUAUAUUCGGGAGUUGUCAUUGGACUUGCGGCAAGUAUCUUCAUUCUACGGGUCGAACACCUUCUUCUUGUUAUUUUUUUUCCUGUAUGAAAAUUCACAUUGUGCCAACCCCUGAGUUACCGAUAUGAACUGUCUAGAUCUAUACUGUUUCAAGACUAGCAAAGGUGCGUACCAAUGGCUCUCCAAAAUCUCAGCAAAAGAACCUAAUCAAACUCUCCACAUCGGUAUAAAAUCUUAUUAGGGAUCAUCCACAGGGCUCUCCAGUCGACAUCCUCAUCUUGAAGAUUUUGGAGAAUCAUCAUCCAUUUUUCCUUCGUGAUGUCGUCUUGUUUUGGUGUAGCCAGUAAUUUCUUUAAUGGGGAGUAGUUCUCUGAGAAGACACGAUAUGAUAUUUUUUCCACCUUCCAAAAGUGACUAUGGAACCAUACCAAUAACAGUUGCGCGCACCCGAUGAACCUUCCAUCACCCGCUAUUUGACACGCAUUUAGAGAUCUAAAGGUUUUAGCCAAAAUAGCUGAGACUGGUGUGACCCUCUUGUCGAGUCGGUCAAACAAAUCUGCAACUGCAUCCUUAGGAUGCCCUAAUGCUUUGGGGAAGACGACUAACCCAUAAAUGCUUAAGGCGAAGAUAUCAACCCUUUUUCUCAUAUUCGGAUGUGCCAAGAUCAGAUCUCGCAGAUUUUCCAAGGUAUGUACUCGCAGAUUUUCCAAGGUAUGUACUUGUUGUCUCCCUUUUGCUUAAAUCCAGGCUGCGACCCUUUGCUCGUUCAUUCCGGUAAUAUUCAUUAAUUUCUUCAAGAAUGUCGGGACAUAAGCCGCUUUAGGCUUAUCGACUUGGAUCCUCGGACACCGUAGCAAGGUCGUAUAUUAUUCUAUUAUGGGUACCAAAUCUACCUUCCCAAACGUGAAACAACUUUAGGCUAGAUUCCAGUAUUGCGUGAGAGCUUGAAAUAAACGCUUGUCUACUUUUACUUCAAGCAAAUAAGACAGAUCACCAUAAUUACUGUAAAAAAGCUGCUUGAUCUUGUUAUUCCACUGAUAUCAUAUCUCUUUCAACUCUUGUAAACUAUUCUGAGCCACAUUAAUGCGAGUGAAGUCCCAUAAUUCUGACACGUACCCUUCCAUGAGGAUGUCACCCUUUUCUUGCUGAACUUUUUCAGACCAAACUCGGACAGCCGCAUUAUCUUCCACUUUACCAAGAAACUCUCCUUCCAUGUUGAGUUCGCUAUUUAGAUACCGAACGUGAACCGACACCUCUUUAAAAUGAAAAUGUCAUGUAAUAAAAAUCAAAACAAAACAAAACAGAUUAUUACAAAUCGAAAGUAAGCAAUAAAAAUACAUAGAGAACUUAUUCAGGUAACCACUAGGGUUUGAAGUGGUUCUACCUAGGGUAGGCUCUUAGGUUCACUACAUGCGGUUCAGCUCUAAAGCAAAGGUACCCGAACCAGCAGAUUCCUCGAUCCUCAUCCAUUAUAGGCUCAUAUGGACCGAGUUCAGUUCAGGGGAAUACAUUUUCCUAUGGCUACACGGAGAUAAAAAUCUCACGAAGAAUAGGUACGGAUGUAUCCCGAAAGCGAUCCACUAUCCUGCUCGGAUGUAAAAUCCUCACGAAGGAGUAGCUUCUCACUCCCACUUAAAAAGGUGUGACCAACAGUCAUGCAAUGCAAUGUGCAGAGAUAUAAAAAUUUAAAAAUACUAAACCUGAUGAAGACUAUAACUCAAAACACAUGAAAUGCAAUGAAAGGAUCGUAUAUUUAAACCAAGUUUUCAAUUUUUGACAAAAAGACAAAAAAAAAAUCAACUUGUGUCUUGACUCUCUUAUUUUAAGUCCCCAGUGGAGUCGUCAAGCUGUUGACAUUAUUUUUUGAUAAAACGGGGUCGACUUGGGUUUCGAAAAAUGAAAUCGAAUGUGGGAGUCGCCGCCAAUCUUUUUUUGAUGAGGUAUGAUUGGAUCACCUCAAAAAGUGGUUGUUUUUAAUAAAUGAUUUGAUUUUAUUAAAACAACGAUUUUGGUCCACGAAAUUUAGAAAAAAGGGGUUCGGGAUUCGGUUACGUACGAGGAAUGAUUAGCACCCUCAUAACGCCCAAAAAUUGGUACCUAGUUGAUUAGUUAAUGUCUUGAUGUCGAAAAUUUAAAACUUGGAAGAAUUUUAAAAAUACGAUCCUUGUAUUAAAACGUUGAAAAUUUUCGGGAAAAGCGACAUACUUUACGUUAAUCGAGAAAGAGAAUCAUAUCCAGUAAGUUAGGACACAAUUUCUCGAAUUUUCGAUACGCGAAUGAAUGCUAGAAAUUUGCUUAUUUUAAAAGAUAUUUAGCCAUCUCGGAUUUUUAAAAAAAGGGGAUCAGGCCCAGUAAGUUAGGACUUGAUCUUUUUUUUUAAUUUCCGAGACCGUUUAAAGCUUAAGUUCGAAAAAGAUUCGUGCAUUUAGAUUCAUCGUGAAAAUUGAAACCCAGUAAGUUAGAGUACGACCUUCUCAAAAUCUAAACAUACGAAAUACCAUUUUUUAGAAUAAAUUUUGACAUAUUGAGUGAAAUAAAACACGAUGUUGUGAUAAAAAGAAUGCGAAAACAGAUGAUAUUGUUUAUAUACAUAGCAGAACAAUAAUGUAUACAGUGGUGUAAAGAUAAUACGAGUAACAUCAACAAAAUAAUAUAAAUAAAAAGGACAAAUCCAUAAUAUACAAAACAAAUAAUAUUAAAACAUUCUAAAAAAAUAAAAAUAAAAGCAACAAUAAUCAUGAAAAAUAAAAAAUAAUAAUAAUGUAGAUAAAUAAAUGAACGAAGAAAAAUGAAUAAAAUUAUAACAAUAUAAAAAAGAUAUAUAAGUAUGUAUAUAUAUGUAAAUCAAAGAUAUAUAAUUAAAUUUAAAAUUGAAAAAAAGGGUGCAAAUGAGUAACUAAUAAUGAUAAUAAUAAUAAUAAUAAUAAUAAUAAUAAUAAUAAUAAUAAUGGUAAAAAUAAAAAAUAAUAAUAUGAGUAAUAAUAAAACAAUAGUAAUAGGUGUAACAAUAAUGAUUAAAGUUAAUUAAUUUAAUACAAAUAACAAAAAGGGACUAAUUUGAACUUUAAAGCAGAAAUUAAGGGUAAACUCGCAAAUAAAUUAAAAGAAAAGGACCGAAUAGAGUGCGAAUAACAAAGAGAGACUAAAAGGGAAAAAUAUUCCCUCCCUCCAAAACGCAACGCUUUACACGGGACUCAAAUGAAAUCAAAAUAAAAUUUUAAGGCCAAAUUAAAAUAAAUAACAGAAGAUAGGACCCAAAUGUAACCAGCCUCAAAAGCGGAAGAACUAGUGGCGCAAAUAGCCCCUUUGUCCAAAAACACGCGAAUCCUAGGCGGGUCAGGUCAGUUUCGGGUCGGGCCCCCAAAACGACGCCUUUUUGGCGUAUGGGGAGGCCAAGCUAAACGACGCCGUUUUAUACAGGCUAUAAAAAUUUUAAGAAUUCCUCAUUUUCAUCCCUCUUUUAAAAAAAACUGAGGAACCCUCUCCCCUUUUCUCUCAAAACAUCCAGCCUUUGGUCUCCGGCGAGCGUCCGUCGUAGUGCUGUCGCGUGCGGCAGCUGGUGGCGCAAAAUCGGUUCUUUUUGGUCCCUUUUUGAAGCUGAAUGUCUCUAGGACACGGAUUCAGGGCUAAAUCUUUCGAUAGAUCGGCCAAACUCAGAAAAAUAAGAGGAAACCGUUCGCCUUUCCCCUCCGGCGCGACUCAAGUAAACUCCCCUCACCUUUCUUUUAUUUCUUUGUAUUUAGAAACGAAAAACAAAAUCAAAACGAAACAAAAUAACAGAUCUAAAAAAAUGGCAGUAAUCACCUUAAGAUUUCUUUUUUUUCUUUUUUUUUUUUGAAUCCUAUUUUUAUUUCCUGAUGUUCAUAAAAAAAGGGUCAAACCCCUACAACUGAUUUUUGCUUGGCUUUUAUAGCCAUUUUACAAGCUUUUUUAAAUACUUUUUUUGUCACUUCAGUUGCAGGCGCAAGUGGAGUGAGAGUCGGUGGUGGCAGUUGCGGCGGUAGCAGAGGUCAGGUGGCGAGGCUAGUGGUUGCGGCGCUAGGUUAGGGUUUCAGAAAAUUGAAACCCUAUUUGACUAUUGAGGCUAACUUGCAUUGGGCUUGAUUAUUGGGUCAUUAUUUUUUUUUGCUGGGUUUUGGGUGUUGUUUGGAUUUGUAUUGGUUUUGGGCCCGGGCAGAAUGGGUCUGUACAUAGCUAAUCUAUUUUGAAAUUUAUUUAGGUAAAAUUUAAAAACAUUUUAAUAAAAAAUUUAAAAAAUCCAAAUAACCCAUAGAAAGAAAUUUCCCUUCAGUAGGGGCGAAUCCAAAAAAUCUUUUAGAAAUCAAAAUGGUUAAAAUAUAAUUUUAUCAUUUUAUUAUUUUUUAAGAGACAUAAAUAUUUUUAUUUUUAAAGGUCAAAGUACAAAUUUACCAUAUAUUAAUUUAUAAUUUAAUCAUUUAUUAAGGGAUUGCAUAGAAUUUUUUCCAUUUUUGGGAUCAAGACCCUUGCCUUGAGCCCUUAAUGAUAUAUAAAAAAAACAAUGAACUCCUUCAACUAAUGGAGAUCGUCAAUAAUCAAUUUAAUUGUUAAAUGACCUUAAUGUGACUAAUGAAAGUAACGAACUCCCUCAGCCUCCGCUUCUACUACUUUACUGAUCACGGAAGUCUUAGAUCGCUUUGGACAAUCUCGUAUCCUAUGCGGACCACUAUACAAAAAGGAUUUCAUUGGCUUCUUCUAAUUCUCAUUUCCUCUCUUGGCUUCAACCCCACGCACAAUCGAACCAAGCCUUAUCGGAGCAUUUUCUGCUCAUCAUCUUCUCUGAUGGCAGGAAACACGAAUCACUUCAGACAGUUCCUCACCAUAUGCAGACCUUUACAAAAGAAGUAUUUUAGUGACCCCUUCUUUUCCCACGGUUGUCGAGUUUCCUCUUUCCAUUUUGUCAUUUCCCAUUACCACUAUGGCCACCAUUACCGCUGCUAAAAUUAACUUGUCCACCUUCAUCUUCCCCAUCACUGCCCAUCUCUUUGGGCUUGGAAGACUCGAACUUGUCUUUCCUCGGGACAAGCCUGAUUAAAGACUCUACCAUGAUCAUGGCUUUCAAUAAUUCUUGGACCCCUCGACAUUCCAAUUCCUGCUUGACUUAAGGCUUCAAACCAUCCAUGAAAAAGAAGAAUGCCUUAUUCUCACUUAAAUCCGUGUUUUGGAGCAUCACUUCACUGAACUUCUUCACAUACUCUCGAAUUGUGCCUUGUUGCGAAAAUCGACGUAACUUAGUCCGAACCUUCUUCUCGACAUAUUGAGGGUAAAACUACUCCCUGAACUCAUUCUGGAACUCAUUUUAGGUGCCAAUCAUAGCCUGACCAUACUUUUCAUCUGUGGACCUACACCUCCACUAAAGAAGAGCAAAAUCAGUAAAAUAUGAAGUAGCAGUAUUUACCUUAGCAUUAUCAUCCAUGAUGCCCAUGGCACAAAAGUAUUGAUUCAUCUCUUACAAGAAAUUGUCUACUUCCCUCGUAGACCUUGCCCUUUUAAACUUCUUCGGUUUUGGGACAUCAAUCUCUCUGUUUAGUGUUGCACUCAACAUCUCCUUACCCACAGCAACUUUGUACGCAACAAGCUCUCCCUCAAGCUUUUUGAUUUUUGCGUUCAAAGUCAUCAUCGUGGCUUCAUUUUCUCCCUUCAUAGAUGUCAUCCCAGCUUUAAGAACAUCGUUUUUUCUGUUAGCUUACCCAUAACAGUAUUGAGAAGCGCUUCUACUGUGUCCAUAUUGGAACUAAGGGCCUCCACCACAUAUUCCUUAAACUGUUCUUUCAUCGGGUCUAACUCAUCAGUCCUUGUCUCCACUACCUCAAGUGUUUGCUUUACUUCACCCAAGGAUUCCUUGAGAUGGACCACACGACUUUCCAAAGCCGACAAUGUAUCCCUUGAUCUGCUAUUUUUUCCUGGACCUUCCACGAGUCUCCAUCGGGACAUUUUGUUCGUCUCAUUCUUUCGUCAUCACAACAGCGCUUUCGAACCUUAGCUAGGAUACCAACUGUCAUAGGGUUAGACUUUUUGUCUCGUAAAUUGUACAACCUUAGGUAAUUUUUUUUGCUCCGAAUUUGCCUAAGUCAACUUAACUCUCGCAAAAGUAAAAAUUCUCGUAAAAAUUCUCUAAGGCAUUGGAAAUAUAGCGGAAGCAUACUCGGAAUGAAAUAACAACGAAGAAUAGAAAAACCAAAGGAAAAUAGCACGCCUAGUGUUUGAGUAAAUGCUCUCAAAUAUAUUUAUCACUACGAAUGGAAUGAAGUGAUUACAAAUGAAGGGGGAGGCCUCUAUUUAUAGUUGAGCUCCCUUAGAACCAAUAGUACAAAUUGAAUUACAUCGACAAUCAUGAUUAGAGCCUAGCUACACUUGAGAGUCUUAAGGGAUUUAAACUCUAUACAAUCUUAUCCGUUUAGGAUUUACACUAUUUACCCUGGUAACUCUAGUUUCACUGGGUUACUAACGCUUCAAGUAGAUGUGAUUCUCCAGGAGUUCCAUGAGUUGAGCGAGUCCAGUCGGGUUAAAUGAGCCCCAUUUCAACAAUUGACUUCUAUAGGGCGUUCUUGGCACAAUCAUCAUGGGCUUUAACCCACAACUUGUGACACUAGGUAGUGCUAGGUUCGGUAACUUGAGCAAGCUUGUGGUAUAACAAAUGACAUUAUCUUCUUUUUAAGAUGUCUAUGCAAUAAGUAUAUAUAUUUACAAUUUGAUUUAUGUGUUUUAAAAAGGUUUCACAUCAAAUUAGAACUAAGUUUUAACGUAUAAACUAACAAUUAGGUCGAUGAAAGAACUUAAUUGAUAAAAUAUUGAUAUUUUGAAUAUUUAAUUAGAAGGUUUAGAUGCUUAUUGUUAUUGUUUUGAAUAAAGUUUAGUUUUAUUUUUGUUAGGGAGAGGAUAACUUUUUCUUUCACUAUCAAGGUAUCCACCAUUGACAACCGUGAUUAAUUCUUUUGUCACAGGUGCUCUCCAAAGAAGUAAACAAUUAACUGCAAAAGGUGCUUCAUUCUCAUAAAUCGAAAUCAAACCUCCGACAAUAUGAUUAAAGGACAAGAUUAAACAACUACUACAUCAUACCUCAUUAUUUAAAAAACUAAAAUUUUUAAGCAAGCGAUGAGAAAGUAUUAUCCGCAUUUUACAAUCACAUGAUUAAAAAGACCCUUCCUAAGCAUAGCUCUAAGCUUUUAACACAACACAAUUAUAUACACGCGGACGGGAUCUCCCUCUAUUCACUUACGGCCCAUCCUAGGCCCUUUUACCAAAAUAGCCCAAAAAAUAUUAUAUUUACAAAAAUAACCCAGGUUUAAAAACAAUCACCACAAUAACCUAAAAUGAACAGUACCCACUCGUUUUUUGCACCCAUGAUUGCCUAAUAAUUGUGUCAGACUUAAAAAAAUUAAUUUUUUGGGUUUUGGCCGGUCAAUGGCCGGAACCCAUGUAUUUUUUUAAAUCGUAUAAUGCUGAUAUACGUAAAAGGAGAAAAAAAGAAAAAGGAAAAAAAAAUUUGGGGUGCUGGCCUGUCAAUGGCCGGCACCCAACAGUAAUAAAAAAAUUACUUUUUUUUCGUGUUAAAAUCAGGUAUCAGUAUACGAAAAAAAGUAAAAAAAAUUUGGGUGCUGGCCUGUCAAUGGCCGACACACAACAGUAAAAAAAAAUUACUUUUUUUUUCGUGUUAAAAUUAGGUAUCAGUAUACGAAAAAAAGUAAAAAAAAAAUUUGGGUGCUGGCCUGUCAAUGGCCGGCACCCAACAGUAAUAAAAUUUUUUUACUUUUUUUUCGUGUUAAAAUCAGAUAUCAGUAUAUGAAAAAAGUAAAAAAAAAAAUUUUAGGUGCUGGCCCAGUAAUAAAAAAAAAUUAUUCUUUAAUUUAACUUACAAAAAAAAGAAAUUGGAUUUUUUUUUUACUUUUUUCGUAUACUGAUACCUGAUUUUAACACAAAAAAAGUAAAUUUUUUUUAUUACUGUUGGGUGCCGGCCAUUGACAGGUCAACACCCAAAAAAUUUUUUUUUACUUUUUUUUCGUAUACUGAUACCUAAUUUUAACACGAAUUUUUUUUUCCUUUUUCUUUUUUUCUCCUUUUCCAUAUAUCAGUAUUAUACAAUUUAAAAAAAAUACAUGGGUUUCGGCCAUUGACAGGCCAAAACCCAAAAAAAUAAUUUUUUUUAAGUCUAACACAAUUAUUAAGGAAUCAUGGGUGCAAAAAACGAGUAAGUACUGUUCAUUUUAGGUUGUUUUGGUAAUUGUUUUUAAAUCUGAGUUAUUUUUGUAAAUAUAAUAUUUUUUUGGGCUAUUUUGGUAAAAGGGCCCCCACCCCACCACCGUCAAAACAAUGCUAGGCCACACAAGUUUCUCCCACUGCCCUGUUACUCGAUUUUGAUUAAUGAUCUUUACCCCCAAUAAAUAAAAUAAAACCAAAAAGCCUUCACGUACCAACAAGUCUUGAUUAAGGCCCUUUUAGCAAAAUAGCCCAAAAAAAUAUUAUAUUUACAAAAAUAACUUAGGUUUAAAAACAAUCACCAAAAUAACCUAAAAUAAACAGUACCCACUCGUUUUUUGCACCCAUAAUUGCCUAAUAAUUGUGUCAGACUUAAAAAAAUUAAUUUUUUUGGUUUUGGCCUGUUAAUGGCCUGAAUCCAUGCAUACGAAAAAGGGAAAAAAAAUUUUGGGUGUUAGCUUGUCAAUGGCCAGCACCCAACAGUAAUAAAAAAAUUUUACUUUUUUUCGUAUUAAAAUCAGGUAUCAGUAUAGGAAAAAAAGUAAAAAAAAAUUUGGGUGCUGGCCUGUCAUUGGCCGGCACCCAACAGUAAUAAUUUUUUUUACUUUUUUUCUCGUGUUAAAAUUAGGUAUCAGUAUACAAAAAAAAGUAAAAAAACAAAUUUUUGGGUGUUAGCCUGUCAAUGGCCGGCACCCAACAGUAAUUAAAAAAAUUUUACUUUUUUUUGUGUUAAAAUCAUGUAUCAGUAUACGAAAAAGGAAAAAAAAAUUUUGGGUGCUGGCCUGUCAAUGGCAGGCACCCAACAGUAAAAAAUUUUACUUUUUUUUUCGUGUUAAAAUUAGGUAUCAGUAUACAAAAAAAAGUAAAAAAAAAAUUUUUUUUUGGGUGCUGGCCUGUUAAUGGCCGACACCAAACAAUAAUAAAAAAAAUUUUUACUUUUUUUUCGUGUUCAAAUUAGGUAUCAGUAUACGAAAAAAGUAAAAAAAAAAUUUUUUUAGGUGCUGGCCUGUCAAUGGCUGGCACCCAACAGUAAAAAAAAAUUUACUUUUUUUUAUUGUUAAAAUUAGGUAUCAAUAUACGAAAAAAAAGUAAUGACCAGCACCCAACAGUAAUAAAAAAAAUUUUCUACUUUUUUUCGUGUUCAAAUCAAGUAUCAAUACACGAAAAAAGUAAAAAAAAAAAUUUAGGUGCUGGCCCAGUAAUGAAAAAAUUUAUUCUUUAAUUUAACUUACAAAAAAAAGAAAAAAGAAUUUUUUUUACUUUUUUUGUAUACUGAUACCUGAUUUUAACACGAAAAAAAAAGUAAAAUUUUUUUUAUUACUGUUGGGUGCCGGCCAUUGACAGGCCAACACCCAAAUUUUUUUUUUUACUUUUUUUCCUAUAUUGGUACCUAAUUUUAACACGAAAAAAAGUAAAUUUUUUUUUAUUACUGUUGGGUGCCGGCCAUUGACAGGCCAGCAUCCAAAAUUUUUUUUUCCUUUUUCUUUUUUCUCCUUUUUCGUAUAUCAAUAUUAUACAAUUUAGAAAAAUACUUGAGUUCCGGCCAUUGAUAGGCCAAAACCAAAAAAAUUAAUUUUUUUAAGUCUGACAGAAUUAUUGGGCAAUCAUGGGUGCAAAAAACGAGUAAGUACUGUUAAUUUUAGUUUAUUUUGGUGAUUGUUUUUAAACCUAUAUUAUUUUUGUAAAUAUAAUAUUUAUUUGGACUAUUUUGGUAAAAGGGCCCUUGAUUAAUUAUCCCUCACAUCACAUGCUUCAUGUUCUCAAGUGUUGGGUCCUUGAUUUGCGGGAUUCUCCUGUUCUUUCAUGUCCAUCUAUCUCCUCCUUUUUACUUUUUUCUUUCUUUCAAUAAUAUAUGCUUCAUCUUAAAUCGAAAAAUAUAAGGUUCUUUUUUAUUGCAUUUCCUUCUACUGUUUCUCAACUCGAUUGAUCUGAAUCUGAAGUCAAUAAUCUAAAUUCAUUUAAAUUAAAAUACUUUAAAUCCAAAAUGAUAUUUUUAUACAAUUAUAGUAUCGUCUGAAUCUAAUCAUGUAUCAGUCUAAACUGCUUAAUUUUGCUUUCAAAGCCCUGAAACCAAUUCGACUAGUCAUUAGAUACGGCUUUUUUUUGCCCUGAAACCAAUUCGAAUAGUCAUUAGAUUCGGCUUUUAUUUUACUUUUUAACUUGGCAGGAACUGGUUCACUUUACUUUCAAGCACUUAAAGAAGGUGUGUGAUUAGGUAGACGACUUUCUUUUGACAGUCAAGAACUGGAUGUGGCCAGCGUAAGGGGCAAACACCUUUUUUUGUGCUAAUUAUUCACAUAUUGGAUCUUUUCUCGAUGUAGCUUAUCUACUUUGUGCCAUGCAUUAUUUACUUCUUUUUUACUUGAAAGUUCUUGAGCAAGGGCUUUCAAACUUGAGGUUGAUGACAAAGUGCUAUAAUAAUAAUUAAUAAUAGCUUUGAAGGUGGUAGAAGCUAGCUAAGUGUCUCUUUCAUCUUUAGCAUUGGUCCGCAUUGAGAGGUCUGUUUUAUGCCACAUUAUCCCUUCCAUAGAUUAAGUGGUAACCCCCUUGAAGAUGGUUGUUGUCUGCUUAGUUGAGGACUGCCGUCACUGUCCAAUUGUUGGAGUCUUUUGCCUAUGUUAUUUUCUUAUGCCUUCCAUAUCAUCCCCUUUUAUCCAUUACUUAACAAUUGAAGUUGCUACUUGGGCAUUUUCAUUUUAGCUAGCUACAUCUUCACCUGCCCUUUGUGGCCCUUUUACUAAAAUAGCCCCAAAAAUAUUAUAUUUACAAAAUAAUUCAGAUUUAAAAACAAUCACCAAAAUAACCUAAAAUGAAUAGUACCCACUCGUUUUUUGCACCCAUGAUUGCCUAAUAAUUGUGUCAGACUUAAAAAAAAUUAUUUUUUUGGGUUUUGGCCUGUCAAUGUCCGGAACCUAUGUAUUUUUUUUAAAAAAAUUGUAUAAUACUGAUAUACAAAAAAGCAGAAAAAAGAAAAAGGAAAAAAAAAUUUUGGGUGCUGGCCAUUAAUAAAAAAAAUUUUACUUUUUUUUUUUCGUGUUAAAAUUAGGUAUCAGUAUACGAAAAAAAAUAAUAAAAAAAAUUUUUUAGGUGCUGGCCUGUCAAUGGCCGGCAUCCAACAGUAAUAAAAAAAUUUACACCAAAUUUUUUUUUUACUUUUUUCGUAUAUUGUUACCUGAUUUUAAACGAAAAAAAAAGUACAAAUUUUGGGGGGGUUUUUUAUUUUUUUUCAGGUUUUGAUACCUCUAGCACAUCUUGUAAUAACUUCACACAUCUUGUAAAAAAAUUUACUUUUUUUACUGUUCAUUUUAAGUUGUUUUAGUGAUUAUUUUUAAAUCUAGAUUAUUUUUAUAAAUAUAAUAUUUUUUGAGCCCUUUGUAAUUCUUUAGGCUUCUUUCCAUGUAGGGAAUUCAUAAUACAUUUAAGUCGUGGGGUUUUAAGUUCCCGAGGGGUUAAAAUUAUUGGACUAAACUUUUCUACCAGGCCAUGCAACGGGACGGAGUAACUAUUUUUAAAUCCGUCACCAUUCUAUUGUCUCUUGUCUUGUUUUGUGAUGAAUGUUAUUAUGAAUGCAUCCACAAUCAUUUCACCAUACUCCACCUAUUUCAAAUAUAUUAGCUAUUUCUAAUAAUUUUAAUGUGUAUUUGACUUAUAAAUAUGAAAAUAAAUAAUUGUGUUGAGUGAGAUAUAUUGUACUUUCAAAUAAAUAAUACACAUUUGAAUAUAAAAUAUGAUAUUAUUAAGAGAAACAGUUACAAACCUCAAAUAUGUCAUGUAAAACUGAUAUAAAAGAUACUUAAAUAAUCUAUAAAUAUCUCAAAUAUUUUAGAUUUAUUAUAUAACAUAUUAUUGCAUUUUUAUCAUUUUAAAAGUUUAAUAUAUAAGAGUAAAAUAGUAAUUUUAAAGAUAUUAAAGUCAGGCAAGACAAGUAAAUAUCAUAAUUAAUCCACACCCAAUGGCAUAUCUAGGAGGGGUUGGCAGUGGCCCGACCCCCUAAAAUAAAAAAUUGUCUAUUUAGGUUUUUUAAAAUUUUUAAAAAUUAAAACUAGUAAAGGUCAAAUUGUACUAUGGCCCUCCUUAAAAAUGAAAAAAAAAUUUAAUUUAAUCUUUUAAAAAUUAUAAAGAUAUAGACUAUUAAAAAUUAAAAUUUAAUUCCAGCUCCUUUAACAAAUUUUUUUGACUUUCACCCAUGUCCAUACCCACCUUUAAAACUAGAAAAAAAAUCAUCACGACCUACCUAUACUGUUUAAGGAAAAAUCUCUUUACCAUUUAAAUCAAUUCAAAAUUCAUUAAACGAUUUAUAUUUUGCCAUCUCGCAUUCCUCUAGAUUUCAAGUAAGAAGACAAAAAUCAUAGGGCCCAAAAAGAAAGAGAUGGUGGGGUUAGUAAAUUAGAAAUGGAGGACAUUGGACGGUUGUAGCAAUGUGCAGAUGUGGUUAGGGGUACUCUUCCAGUCCAUUUUCAUUGCUUAACAUCAAGCCUCAAUUGAUCCCUAUUGGCGAAGGAAGGACGACGAAAGAAAAUUCAAAUAGACAAAUUAGUGAUGUGAUAUGCAGGGACGGUUGGAGUGGCCACCCCCCUCUCUCUUCAACCAAAAACUCAAGACAUGUCACUCUUUGUUUCUUUCUUCUUAAUUGAUGGUCUUUGAUGGGCAUUUCGGUGAAUUUUAAUGUUGAUCUCAAUAUUAUAUAUUAUUUUGCUUAAAAUUAUAAAUAUUAUAACCACGUUUUUUUAUGUAUUGACCGUAUAAUAUUGCCAAUGAAUUAAAUAAUAAUAAUGCUUCAUCUCAAAUAUUAACUAUAUUUUUAUUGAGUUAUAUAAUAAAAUUUUGAUUGUGUUUGUAAUGUUGAAACAACUUAAGUCAAAAAUCAUAUUAUAUAAAUUAGAUAUCAACUUAAUUAAUGUAUUUAUUUUAAUUUAAUCUUGUUAUAAAAAUAUUUUUUAUUAUAAUUAAGGAAAGAAGAAUACUCAUGAUUAAUUUAGUGAUUAAGGAAUGUUCACUAUAGAAUCUACUCGAGUUUAAAUCAAUUCCCUUUGAACAUAGUGUGUGGUUUGGGUUUGUCCCUACUAUGUACCCGUGAAUACUAACACUCUAAUUAUAUAGUACUAAAAUAAAAUUAAGGAAAGAAGAAUGUACAAAGCUUAUCUAGUCCCCUCUAGUUGAGAUCAGGGUAGUUGGUACCGUAAUGUUCUGGUCUUAAAUUGGUACUAAGUAGUCUAUGUAUUGUUUCAAUAAAAACUUCGGUGUGUUUCGGCCCAUUUUAAUUAAUACCCGUGCAUAUAAAAUUUUGAUAUUUUAAAUCAAUUUUUAAUUUUUUUUAUCUUAACCAUUGUAUAUAUAAUUUAUCAAAAAAUAAAAAAUGAGGCUAUACAUAUAUAUAUAUAUAUAUAUAUAUGAAAAUAUUUAAAGACAUCAAUAAACCCAAAAUGAUAUAAUGAAACAAGUUGAUACCAAAACAAAAAUAAUACACCCACCAACACGGAAGGGGACUCACUGUUAGCGUCCAUUUCCAUAUAAUUUAUCUCCUUAUAAUUUAUCAACUCUUCGUACUCGCAAUAUAUGAAGUACCAACAUAAAUUAGACUCGUAUAUAAUGUAAGAUACAGAUAAAUUGUAGUAAUCUACGUAUGAAGUACUUCAUUUUUUUCUUUAAAAUUUUAUAUAUAGGUAAGGUAGGAUAUGAAUAGAUGUUAAAAUAACAAAUAGGUAGGGGGGAUUAAAUUGAUGUCCCCUAACAACUUACAAGCUAGGUAAUGCAGGAGUUGAGGUUGAACCUGAUGAUGUUGACUGUUAUAUGGGGAGUAGGCAUGGAAAAUGCAAUUGCAAUGCCAAACCCAUCCAACUAAGGAUAGCCAUGCUGCCGCAUCACUUUCAUCCACAAAUCAACUUCUCUUUUCUACACUCGCUCAUAUUUUUAACUAAAUAAUUUAUGACGUCAAAUACGAAUAUGAACAGUGGGUCGCAAUCAUGGUUUUAGGCUUCUCUCUCCUUCUCUGACUUUUCUUUUUUGUGUAAUCUAUUCGCUCAAGCUAUCGUCAAAUAAUUUAAUUUCAAAAAUUACGAUUAAAUUAUCAAAAUUAUAGUAAAUUAUUUGAAUUUUUUUUAUUUUGAUCAACGUUUCUUUUUGUUGUAUGGUUUUAUCAAUUUGUAUCACCUGCAUUAAUUGAAACCUUUAAUUUAUUUUCUCUUUUAUAAUUUAGUUUUUUUAUGAAAUAAUUUUAAACAUUACAAAUUUGUAAAUCAAAAUUCAAACAAUUUUCUUUUUCGAUCUUGACACUAGCCGUCAGGUCGAUUUGGAUCUAAAGUAUAUUUUUUUACUCAUUAAUGGAUAUUGAUCCACCAUACUGUUCGUUGAAUCGUUACUUGGAGCUCGUUAGUGGAACUUUAAAAAAUAACUUAAUAAACCAGUGACUUAAAUAAAAACUUUUUAAUAGUUCAAUGAUAAUAUUGUAACUUUUGAAGUUGAGUGCCCAAAACAUAAAUUUAUUAAUAGUUUCUGACCUUGCGUGUAGUUUCUUUUUUUUAGAAGUGUUUUACGUUCUAAUUUGGUUUAAAAUUUAAAUAUUUAGUUAGUGUCUGUAAAUUUAUUUAAUAAUUAAAUUUGAGUGUAAUUAUGUAAACGAUAUGUUUGAAUAACUAUUGCAAUGCAAUUGGUGGAUUCCACUAAAUUGAAUGUAAUUAAAGCACUUCAAUUAUACUUUACAAUUAUUAGGAAAGGUUGAGAAUUGAGGUAAUUACGCUCGUAAUUAUAAGUAAUUACCAAUUACCUUAUUACUUUCCAAACAUUACAUAUAUGAUUUAAGUUUAUAUAAAUUAUUUUUAUACAAUUAUAAGAAAGUAUUUUAAUUUUAGAAUAUAUUUUAAUUUAAAAAAAAAUAUAAUUAUAUAUUUAUUAUUAAAUAACAAAUAUUUUGUUAUUGAACACAUCAACUCUAAAAAUUUCAUGUAAUUUUUACUUGUUUAAAAAGGCAUUUGUAAACGAGGAAGAUUUAUGCUUAUAUGAAGCAUUGAAUUUGGAAGUUUGAGAAUUCUUAGAAGAGUAUGUUGCUAAGGGUGUCCUUUUCCCUGAUUCUAUUUUGUAAUCUUUUGUUUUCUCUUUAGACUAUUUGUUCACCAAAAAAAAAAAAAAAAACAUAUUAUAGAUUCUAUAUUAUUCUUGCAUCAACAUGUAUUUGAGUACCCUAAUAUAAGUGUUAUAAAAGUUAUUGAACACUCUAUAAAACCAUUUUUAUAAAAGCUAUAUUAUAAAUUCUAUAUUGUUUUUUUACUUAAUUAGCGUGGAAUAAUAGUAAUUGAAAUAUUAUAAAAAAUGGUUACAAAGUUGGUUUGCUAUUUGACACCCUAGCACAACUCUGGUGCAAAUUAGGUAAAAGCUAUUAUAAUUGAAGGAUCAUAAAAUUAGUCUGCGCCUCAAAUUCUAGAGUGCUAAGAAAUGCGAUUUGGGAGAGAUUUGAAAAUAGGUUAAAAAUUGCAUCUAUUAAUCGAUAAAGUUGGUUAUGCAUAUACAAGUUUUAUUGCACCAUAUUGUGGGAUACACUGCCAUUUGAGACAAUAGAGCUACACAUAAGCACUAAAGAUGACUCACAAACUAUAUAUUUAAGACAUUCAAAGUUUUGAAAUAUGGUUAAGAGGACAUUUGUUGUUGUUGUUUUUUUUUUUUUUUAAUUCUCAUGUUAACACCACCUCAAUAUAGUCUAAAGAAAGGUUGAAUCAUGCUAGCAUGUUGCAUACGACAUAAUUUCAUUCAUAGUUGGAAUUAGGAUUAUAUGUACUUUAAACAUUACAUAGUAGAUCCUGGUAACUUUGAUGAUAUAUAUUCAGAUUUCGAUUUAGAUGUUGAAGAAAUUAGUUAAUGACCAAUAUAUUAAUGGGUAUAUGUUAAAUGCUAAAUAUAAAUAACACAACAAAUAUAGAAUAUUAGAACAAUUAGAUAAAAUUGCAUAUGAUAUUCAUUUUUAUUUUUCUUUUUAUCUAUAAUCAUAUUGUCAGCUGCUUUCUUGGCUAACAUAUUACAUAUGAUGAUUUGAUAUUAAUUUUGUUGUUUAAUUUUUUUCUCAAGUAUUAUUAAUAUUUUUUUAUGGUAAAUAAUAUUUUUAUAUUUAAAUUAUAUAAAUGUGUAAUUACAAUUUUUACUAUUAGACACGACAUAAGAAAUUACAAUGUAAUUACAUUUUGCCAUUAAACACAUCAGAAAAUUACAAUUUAUUGUAAUUACGAGAGGGUUUAAUUACUACCCUAGUAAUUACACUUUCAUCCAAUUACUCAGUGGUGCCCAAACACACAUUUAGUAUUGCUAUCAAAAAGCGUUUUUAGGAAAAUAAAAUAUCCAUUUUAGAUAUAAAAUUUUAAAGUAAAAAUAUGUAUUUAAAUGAUAUUUAAAUUUAUUAGUAUUAUUUAUUCAUAGAAAAGGAUUACAAGCAAUUGCGGACCAAGUUCUAUAAAUAUGUACAAUCAAUAUGACACAAACUGCAAAAAAAAAAAUACAUUAAGUUUGAAACAAACCAACAAACAUAAUAAGACAAGAGCCAAAUGGCUUGAAACCCAAUUUUGAGAAAUGAGCAAACUCUGCUUAAAUCAAGUCGUCAUUGCCUAUCAAGGAGCAGUAAGGACGAAAACCCUCGCAAGUAUGUUGGAGUUCAACCAUCAUGGCAGAGAAGCCACCGUGAUGCGUAGAGCCUUGUUAUAUCAUCGCCUUUAUUACAAUGGACAUGCCUCAGGCUAACUUGAAAAAUUAGGUGCAAGAGCUUGAGCAAAUUAGGCAAUCUUGAUAUGCCUAAAAACUCCUAAUCGAGAACCAAAUCCUUCACACAAUGCUAUCAUCCAAAUAAUUAUUGAGACAAUGUUUGCAUCAAGGAAGUCAACCCACCAUGACAGUGGAAAAGGGGAGAGCCAAAUGAGUCUUAACAGUUAACGCAUUAUUUUGCUGAAAAAGAGACACUCACUUCUAUCUCGUCGGCAACCAAAGGUUGGAAAGAAUCCAACGAAACCAAAAGGUCGAUAGGAAAAAAAAAAGCUAAAAAGAGAGAGAGAGAGAAAAAUGGGAGGAGGAAGAGAGGGGGCAAAAAAUAGAAGGGUCAACUAUUGGUGGAGGUUGCCACUAGAGAAUUGCCGCCAACUUUUGUAACAACUUGUUUUUCAGUGGUAUCAGAAAUAGUGGUUUCGAAAUCCUUUUUUUCAAUGAUCGAGUCCGUAAAUAUUAUUAAUUAAUAUUUACAAAUUUAUUUUAGUAUUAUAUUGAACUUUGGUCUGACGAUUUUGUUAAUUGGAUACUUAGUUAAGGUAUAAGUAUUUCAACUCUAAAAUCAAUGGUUAUGGAGAAUGAGGUAUUGCGACCUCGUUUUCAUAAACCAAACUCGUAAAUAUUUUUAAUAAAUUUUUAUGGAGUUAUUUUAUAGGUGAAUUGAAAUUUUGAUAAGUAAUUUUGUUGAAUUAGUGACUAAUUAAGGUACAAGGACUAAAUAGUAAAAGUGGUAAAAAUUAAUCGUUAUAGAUUUUUAAUUGCUAAAGGACUUAAUAAGUAAUUAAAUCAAGGUUAAAAUGGUAAUUAGACCAUUAUGGAUUGAGUGGACUGUUGAUUGUGUUUUCUAUUAAUAAUUAAUAUUAAAAUUAUGAUUAAAUUAUAAUAUUAUAUGUUAAAACAUAAUAAAAAAUAUGAUCAUCUUUAUUUCUCUCUUCUCUCCACCGUUUGCAUGAAAAAGAAGCAAAAGAAGCCAUUUUUAAGCUCUUAGCAUUCAACCAAGCUUUGUUCUUCAAAUUGAUAAGUAAUUUCAAGUUUGUUUCUUGUAAUUUUUUAUGUUUUUGAAGUCUUAGGAGCUUGAUCUAGCUAACCCGUGUGUUAAUUUUUGAAAUUGUUAAAGUUUAUAAAUGUUACCAUUGUUGAAUUCUUGAUGACAUUGGUGCCAUUUGGUUAGGUUUGAUGCUUAAAUAUGAAAAAGGGCUAAUUUAUAAAGUGAAAAUUGAUAGUUUUGAACUUAGGGAUUAAGGUGUAAAUAUUUCAAAAUAGGCAUGAAAUUUUUGUAAUUAUAGAUAAUAGAGGGUUAUAGAAGGAUGAAAUUGAAAUAGGAUUGACAAAGAAGCUUAAAUUUGAAAGAUAUAACUAUUUCAAUUUUAGGGAAUAAAUUGAAUAAAAUGUAAUACUUUAAGGAACUUUUAAAAAUUAAAAUUGAAUUGAUUUAUGCUUAUAAUAUAAUGAUAUAAGGUAAUUAUACUUGAUAAAUUGUAAUGAAUUAUUGUAGAUCAAAACUUGAAUCAAUCAGAAGAUAAUUGAAAAAAAAGGAAAAAUUUCAAAUUAGUCCCUGAUAAAGUGUCAUUGCUGUUUUUUUAGGUAAGUUCAAAUAAAACUUACUAUGUUCUCUUAUAUUAUGCUUGAAUUGUGUGAAUUUACUUAUUAAUUUAUAUGCAUGUGUAAUUUUGGUAAAUUUGGCAUCUAAAGGACUAAACUGUAAAGUAUGAAAUACACGACAACUAUGAAUAGAUACAUGAUAUUGAAUGGAUGUGGAAUUUUUAUUUGAUCGGAUAGUAUAUAUAUGAUAAUGUUACAAGGUUUAAAAUGUAUAUGGAAUGCUAUUUGAAAUGUGAAAAGUGCAUAUAUAGCUACAAGGUUUAAAAUGAAAUGAAAAAAGAAAAACGAGUGUUUGAUCAGGGAUUAAUACGUUGGCUUGAGAUCCAAAAUUUGUUACGGAUUCUCUAAAGCUAAUGUUAGCAGCAUCAUACCAAGCUAGUGUUAGCAACCCUGAUCUGAAGCUAGUGUUAGCAACCCGAAUAUGUUAGCACAUAAAGUAAAUUUGUCAUGUGUAUCUGAUUUCAAUAUGCGAAGGUUCUCUGAGUGUUAAAUAAAAACAGAAAUGGUAAUUAAAAUGGAAAUGGAACGAUUGAAUUGUGUGGACAUGAAUUGAGUUGUUAAUUUUUUAAAUUGAGCAUGGUUUGAAUGAUUGUAUAUACGUAUGAUUUGAGUAACAUGGUUUUCUAUGCAAUUAAACUAGCUUAUUGGUUGUAUUGUUGACUUGUACAUGAAAAUAUAAGGUGCCAAAGGAUGUCAUAGAUUAUACCAUUGAAUUUCAAUUGCUUAAAUUUGUUGUAAUGUUAAGAUAACUUAAGUAAAUUUCAUAUGGAUUUAUUAAGCAUUUAAAAUCCUUACUCGCUAUCUUCUUUCCUUGUAAAUCGUCGGUUUAUGGAAUGCAUUAGUUGGAUCACUACGAAGCUCACACUAUCCUAUAGGCGAUGCAAUAAUCUUUUAAUCAUUAUGGAUUCAGUUAUAUGGCAUGUAUCUAGGUGUUGUUAUGUAUAUGUGUUUACCUUAAAUAAUGCUUGAAUUUGAAUGGUUAUUAGCGGUGAAUAUAAGUGAAUAUGUUGGAAAUGUGAUAAACUAUAGUUGAAGUGUGUGAACAACUAUGUUGGUCGUGAAUUGGUUGAGUUAAGUGCUGAAAUUAAAUAGUAUCAAAUGUUUGAAUGAGUAGUGAUUUCAUAGGUUGAUAUGUUUUGGCCAAGUGCCCAAUUGAUGUUUAAUGGCUUGAAUGAUCUUGUGGAAAUGGUAAAAUGGAAGUUUGGUAGAUGUUUAUUGCAGGUUUUAAGAGUGCAUCCAAGCAUUAAUUGUGUUUGUUUUGAGUUAGGCAUGAAAAUGGACCAAAAUGGAAGAUUUUUUACUUAUUUGGCUUUAAGGUGCCGAUACCUUAGAUGAGGUAUUAGUACAUUACAUUUUUCAACUAAAUCUUUGCAAAACAGAAUGCUAAAAUGGUAUCAAUACAGAAAGUAUCAGCACUUCAACCCUAGUAUCGACAGUUCUUGAUUUAAUUUGAUUUUUUUGAAAUUUCGAAGCUCAAAAUGGCAUCGGUACCUAGCAAGGGUAUCUAUAUGUGUUGUGAAACUUGAAAAUCUUACAAUUUUGUCCUGUUUCGUGCUUAGGUCCUUAAAAGAGCUUUCGUAAGCUCGACCAAGGUUCAAAUUUUAAUUUUAUAUCAUAAUAUCUAAGUGUUUAUAACAUGAUUAAAUGCUUGAAAGAUUUAUAUAUGAUAUAUUUGAUUUGUAAUUUAGAAUAUGUUGCAAAACAGUCCUUGUUAAAUUUUGAGUUGAUUCAAGAGCGUAAAUAGGCUCGUAUAAUACCCAAGAGAGGUUAUAAUUGGUGAUUCUUGAACUAAAUUGACUAUGAUUGUAUGAAUUAUGUGUAAAUUGAAUAUCAAUUGCAUGUUUUUACUCCUGCAAUGAUUGUAGCAUCUUGUAACUCGGGUCUGACAAUCAAGUCGAGCGAGGGGUGUUACAACCUUACUGCCAACCGAAGAGAAGGAGAGGGACAAAUCAUGGUAAAAAGGCAAAGAAAAUAAAAAGGGAAGGGAAAAAGUAGAGAAAGGGAAAGAAAAGGAAGUGGAAGGGUGGAAGGAAUGGGAAGGAAAAAAGGGUCUACAGUAGGUUAUAAGACGAUGGUUGGCAAUGAAAAGCCGAUGAAAAAACUUCGUCGGAAUUACAAAAUGAUACAGAAAAGUGGAGGGACUAGAAGGGAAAAGAAGAGAACUAUUUAACAUAAAGUGAGUUCAUUUAAUAUUAUGCAUUUCAAUUAAUUAAUUUUUUAUAACUCAAUAUUAAUAUAUAAAAUAUAAAUUGUUUAUGAAUUUAAUUUGAAUAUAUAAUUUAUAUUUUAGAUUUUAAAAUAUAAUCUUUACAAAUUCAAAUAUAUAAUGUUAUAUAUUUGAAAUAAAUUUUAAUAGGAAGAUAAUUGUAUACUAGUAUAAAUAUUACGUAAAAUGCAUUUAAUAAUAAAUGAUGGCUAAAAAUGUGAUUUGAUUUUAAAAGUACUUUUCAAACGUAAAAGGUGUGUUCGAAUUUAAAGAAUUUUUUAUUUUAAAAGUUAUCUGUUUAGUAUUCGCUUUAGCUUAAUAUAUCAUUUAAUACUUGAGUUUGAUUUUUUUUUUCUAAUGUGGUAUUUAUAUUUAACAAAAGUUAUACAUUUUGGUACCUAAAGGUAAUGAUGUUACUUUUUUAGUGUUUAAUUCAGAUUUUAGGAUUGAUUUGAUGAAAGUUAAUUGGUAAUAUUAUUAGGUCUGAAUUUUUCAUAAUUUUUAAUAGAAAAAAAUUUAAUGUUACUUGUGAUUUUAUUUAAUUUUGCGUUUAAUUUGUUAAAUAUAGUCCAAGGGAUGUUAAUUAAUUUGGAUUUUAGGGUUGAUCUAAUCAAAAUUAAUUGCUAAUAUUAUUAGCUAGUUAUGAAUUUUCAUCAAAUCAACUCUAAAAUUUGAAUUAAACACUAAAAAUUUAGCAUUGUUAUCGUCAAACUAAAAAUUAAAAUAAAUACCACAAUAGAAAAAAAAAACUGAUAAACAUAGAUAUUACAUUGCACUUGUUUAUGGCUGCAAAAUAGUUUCCUUUUAUCACAAAAUGCUUUAGAAACACAACGUGUCUACACCAAUAUACUUUUUAAAAUUUGAUCAUAGUUUAAAUUCGUUUAUAUUUAUUCAUAAUUUCAAAAAAAAUAAUUUUUAUUAAUUUCAUAAGUUUUUUAUUCAAAAUUUUAAAUAUAUUAAAAAUAAUUUAAGUUCAAUUCAAGUUUCGGGUUGUAAAAUUUGUGGGUGUGUUUGGAUGAGGGGUUUAAAAAGGAAUUUCAUUUUAUAUCAAAGUUUUCAAAAUUUUAAAAAUGAAUUUACUUGUUUAAGUAAAAAUAUUGAAGAAUUUCGAAUAUUGUAAGAAAUUUCAAGAGCUUAAUUUCAUUUUCCAAAUUUCGUCUAAAGAGGUGUUUUUUAAAAUUCUUGAUAAUUUUGUUCCAUUCAAAUACAUGGUCUCACUAUAACAUAAAAAGAUUUAAACUUAAAAAUUAUUUUUAUUUAAUUAUAAUAUAUAAAUUUAAUAUUUUAUUAAAAUAUUUACCAAUUUUUUUUUAUAAAUCUAAUGAUAUUCAUAUUAAAUAUUUACCAAUUUUAAUUUAUAAAAUUCAUGAUAACUUGAUUUUUCAUUAAACAAUUAUUUAAACCAAUCAAGCAAUUAAAAUUGUUAUGAUUUUGAAUGAAUAAAUUAUUCAAAAUGAUAGUAUUAUAAAAUUCUCCAAAAUUUUAAAAUUCUUUGUGACACUCAUUGAGUGUAAAAGUUCUAGUAAGGUAAAAAGUUGUGAGGGAGACAUAUCCUCCACACCACUUAGAAUGGUCUGUUAACUAGCUAGCCUCAAACCAUAGCUUAUUGGUUGAAGACAAAAGAUAAAGGGCAGGGGGGGGGGGUUAAAAAUAACUGAAUAUUUCCUUUGCAUCCACCCCUUUCUUUCUCGUUACUCUAUGAGGUCCACUCAUGCAUGCGUACGUGUGUAUCAAUGUAUGUGUGUACGUAUGCAUCGAUAUAUAGAUGAUAUAAAUAUUGUGUGUGUGUGUGUCUUAUCAUUCUAGUUGCUACUAAAGUACGAACAAUCCACUUUAGAGUCUUUUCAAAAUUCCCAAUCUUUCAACUCCAACCAUGACAGACCCUUACUCCAAUCUUUUCAGUGGCUGCUUCAACUUCAUGCCUCUCCAUCCCCACUACGCUACUGCUCCCACUCCACUAAAUCACCCAAACCCUUGUUCUCAUCUUCACCCAAACAGUAUACUCAACAGUGAAACUAGUGGUCAUCCACUUGCCCCAUCGCCUCCUGGCGAAGAAGCUCUUCCCCUCAUCAAUUAUCUGAGUCCCACAAGGCAACAAGAGAAUAAUGAACCCACAAGCAGUUCCAUGGAAGACGAUAAGCUCAGCACUGUUGAUGAUGAAGCUGCAUCUGUAGCCCUACACAUAGGCCUACCUAGUCAUAGUUCCGAUUAUGGCUUCUCCCCAUCCGUAGAUUUGACUGAUAAUUGUGGAGUGAAUGGCAAUGUUGCAGCUUCUGGGUAUCCUUUAAGCUGCAGCAGCAAGGGACAGUAUUGGAUUCCUACCCCUACUCAGAUACUCGUUGGUCCUACACAGUUUUCAUGUCCUGUCUGUUGCAAGACCUUCAACAGAUACAAUAACCUACAGGUAUCUAUGCUUGCCUCGUUGCAUGAGACAUGAUACACCAAAAUUUCCUCCUUAAUUAGUUCUAUUUUCUCUGGUCUGCAAUUUCCAUCGAUCAUGGGGCCUUUUCUUCUCCGGACUCUGAACCAUAACUUUAGUUUUAGCUUACCGUCUUAAUUAAGAGGCUAAGAGCCGAGAAGCCACUUCAUGUUGAUGUUUCAACGGUGAUAAGGUUUACAUUUACAAUUAGCUAUAACCUACAUAUAUAUCUUUCUCUCAUGUAUGUAUAUAUGAAAGUGCAGAUGCAUAUGUGGGGGCAUGGAUCUCAGUACAGAAAGGGACCCGAUUCUCUAAGAGGAAGCCAGCCAACAGGGAUGCUAAGGCUCCCAUGUUAUUGCUGCGCACCCGGUUGUAAGCACAACAUCGAUCACCCAAGAGCAAGAGCGCUCAAAGAUUUCAGAACUCUCCAAACCCACUACAAAAGGAAACAUGGAAUCAAACCCUUCAACUGCAGAAAAUGUGAGAAGGCUUUUGCGGUGAAAGGAGAUUGGAGAACCCACGAGAAGAACUGUGGGAAGAUUUGGUAUUGCAUUUGUGGGUCUGACUUCAAGCACAAGAGGUCUUUGAAAGAUCAUAUCAAGGCUUUUGGCGCCGGUCAUGGCUCAGUUGGCAUUGCUUCUUUCGACGAGGACGAUGAACCCGUUUCGGAAUUUGAAUCCUCAACGACAACGUGAAAUUGGCAAGCAGUAUAUAGCAUGUACUUGCCUUUUUGGUAAGGAUUGGGAGUUGUUUAAAUAAAUGACUAAUUUUUUUUUCUUUUAUCCUUUCUUCUUCAUGUGUAUAGCUUUCGGGUGCAAGUGUUUUAUUCUCUUCUUUGGUAUAUCUCAGUUCUGUAAAUCCUUCCCACUUUAAGUCAAUAUAAACGGUGCAAAGCUUAUUAAAAUUAAAAAUGCUAAUUACAUUGUAUUUGCUACCUAUAUAAUUUAGAGUAACGGAGGAAGGGCUAUGAAUUUUAUUCAUGAGUAUAGCAAUAUAUAUCACGUAGCUAUUUUAAAAAAACAAACCCUUUACUGAUCUUCUAUUACUUUUUGAUCGCUGAAGAUUCGGUCAUAUCAGUUCAUCUUUACUGUUGUCAUAGAUCCUAGCUCCCUCAAAAAGGAGUGGGAAUAUAAAUGAACACCCAUCAUGUUACGUAACCUACUGAAAGAUGCUUUGAGUAACGCGUCUUGGAAGAAAGAAGCAACGCCUUGGGUAACCAAAUGACCUCUACCUAGCUACCAUCUUGUUUUUUGAACAAAACUGUAAUCAAGCUCAAUGUAUUUGGAUUGAGCAUGAAAAACUGGAUUGAUACAUAUGUGAAGAGCACUAAUGUUGUCACAGGAUAAUUGUGAAAGUUGAUAAAGAGUGAAAGCAAGCUAAGUCACUUCUGUAGUGAUAAGUGGUGACAUAAAUUAUUGGUUGCCUUGUACUGAUUUUAGAAAGGAUCUUGUUAUAUCAACAUCUCAUCAAUUGGUUCUUGUUAGUCCCAUAUUUUCCGAUGAGUAUACUUGACUUAAGGGCUCAUCUACAUAAGGAAUCACUCAUAUCUUGUUCAAGAUUUAUUGAAGACCCUUCUUAUUAUCUCAUGAUGCGUGUCAUAACAACUACCACUAGCUACUAUCAAGUAGCUUUCUUUUUUUUCCAAUCACAUUGUGGUAGAAACGUCAUGAACCUAUCCCGCUUAACUGAUGAGGUAGGGUCAUUGUUCACUAAGACCUAUGACUAACUCCGUUCCAAGCUCAUCGCUUACAUAAGAACUUUUACUCCAUUGAAAGAAAAGGAUUUUCUCCCCAUCUAGACCAUUGGCAACCAUCUUUAGAAAGACCCCCAUAGCGGCUAAUGGCACCACCAUUACUGUUUGAACCGCUCUUGAUCACCAACCCUCAAAUUUUGUAUAAAUUAUCAGUAUCAUCAUUGAUACCCUAGAUUGGAAACCAUGUCUCCACUAAAAAAAAAAAGCCUUCACUCCUCAAGUAAAGGAAGCUUAAAAAACGUCAGAUAACACUAUUAUGUUGCCACCUUUAUUACACAGACUAACCAAAAAAGUCUUACAUGCCGAGGCUACCAAGGCCAAAUUUUUUAAUGGUAGUUAUGACCAAAAUAGCUAAAACCACGACAGCUUAUACUAUCUCUUCUUUCCCUAUCCCACAUGCCAAAACCACAUGCAAACCCACCUACGAGUUUUGGCCACCCAUUGGAACCAACCAUCGGAAACCUACCCCUAAAACCUUUUGCUAGAGAGUUUCAUCCAACAAUAUUGAGAGCUUUAAGCCAAAAACGAGCACUUUUGAGCUCAACUCUUUAGACUGGCUUGCCUUUACAAUGAGGAAUAUUGGCUCGAAAUAGCUCGUUACUAACAAUAAAACCAUGCUUUAGAAGGUCAUCUAGGAACCCAAAAGGAAGAGCCACAUCUCAUUAAAAAAAAUUAGCUUUAACUCGGAGGAGGGAGAAUAAUGCCAACACCUUCCCAAACAUGGAGUAGGUCUAAAAAUCCCACUAAAGUUAACCUUGGGGAAGAAGCAAAAGAGACACCUUAUGCUAAAUUUCGUAGCUUCACCCCAUUCAACACCUUGCACACACAAAUCCUGAGUGAGGUAACAGACUAUAAAAUUUUGGGGCCACCACCACCUUUUACGAGGUUGAGUUGGCAAAAAAAGCAAUCCUUAAUGACAAAGUGCCAAUUCCAUGGAUAGAUUUGGCAUGAGGCAAAAGAUGGUCUUUAACUGAAGAGCACCAUUGAAGCGAUGAUCUGGAGGGAUCUGGAGGGGGCACCCUGCCCAAUUUAUCAGACAACCGUCCAUAGCCAUAGAAAGAAAAAUAAAAGUUCAAGCUUUCUUAGCUUCAUUCAACCAUCAAUUUUAAUAAGGUAAUUAAGUCAUUUCUUUGAAAUUACAAUAGAUUCUUGAUCAUGGAGUUUAAUUAAAUUAACCCAAGUGUUAAUUUCAUCAAUUGUUUAUUUUUUGGCAAUUGCCAUAGGUGAAAGUUGAUGAGAUUAAGCUUAAAAUUGAUAGAUAUCUAGUUGUUCAACUAAAUUUUAUUAAGAUUGUAUUAGAAGAUAGUGAAAUUAGUUUAGAAUUUAAAGUUUAGUUAAUUUUGAUAUUAAGGACUAAAUAGAAUAAAUUGAAAAAUGUUAAGAAAUUAUGCUAUAGAUUAAAAGUACAAGGUCUCUAAUGAAAGGAUAUGAAAUCAAAUUUUUAUCCGAUAUUAAAUAUCGAAAAAUAUGAGUGUUCCGGAUAUAAAGACUAAAAUAAAUAAAAUGCAAAAUAUGUUUGAUUAUAUAUUUUUCAUGUGAUUGAGUGAAAACUAAUGUCAUUUUUAUAAUUGAAUUAUCAAACGUUGCUAAAGACGACAUGGUGCCAUCCUUAGGGGUGUGCAAAAUUCGGGUAAAACCGAAAAAAUUUGGUUAAUUGGUCGGUUAACCGAAUUUUUUCGGUCGGGGGUCAGUUAAUUAUUUUUUGAUUUUUCGGUUAACGGUUAAUUUGGCUCGAAACCGGUCGGUUAACCAAAUAUUUCGGUUUAACCAAAAAAAUUAAUAAAUAAAUUUAUAAUAUAUAAAUAGGCCCACUAUUCAACUAAACCCAAUCCAAACCC
rnacentral:lncRNA from 1 species